UUAUUUAGAGUGGUUCUGAUGAUAUAAAUUAUGAAUCACAUUUCAAUUGUAACAGAUUCUGAGUCAUAAUUAAUUUUUCAAUUUUGUUAGAAAGCUAAUUACAAAUUUCUUUUCUCUCUUCCAUCAUCUUCUUCAUCUUCAAUUUUGUGCUCCAACAAUUUUUACGCCGAAUUUUUACCCAUGUUGAGUUUGCAAUCUUUAUUUCAGUUACAAUGCUUCAAGAGAAUUAAUCGAUAUAUUUUAUUCUCUCAUCUCUCUUUAUUGCCAUACAAAAUCUUCUCAUUGCAAGUUAGUUAUCCCAACAAUGUAACCAUGUCUCUUAAUUAUAAAGAAAAUAAAAGUGAAAUGCAUUAAAACAAAAAUGAUCACUGUCACCAACAAUUAUGGUUCCAUAUAAACAUUACUAUAACUUACAAGUCAUGAGCAAAACAAUCAAUUAGGCAAUAUAUCACCUCUUCAAAAUAAAGUGAUGGAAAAAAAUCUCUUUACUUAUAGCUUCUAUAAAGUUUUUUUUUUAAUUCAGAUGAAAUUUAUGUUGAUGAUCAAUACCUGAAUUUGUGUUCUAUAAGAAAGUUUAUCUUAUACUAUUUGUUUUCCUGACAUUUCCAAAGCAAACAUAUAAAUCAAAUACUUGUUUUAGUUAAACAAUAAGUUGGAAGAGAAAAAAAGCAAAGGAUAAAACAGAAAAAAAUUACCUUGACUGUCUUCAACUAUACAAACGUCAAGAAUACACCUAAGCAAUAUUCUAUAAUAGUAGGAAAUUCCUGAUGCAAAUGUAUACUAUGUCCCAAUCACAUGCAUUUCAAAUUGAAGAGGAUAUAAAAAAUUCAAUACACCUAAGCAAGGUCAAUAAUGUAAUUAGAAGUAGGAGCAUCUAGAAGGUUUGAGAUUAAUGGAGAACACAGAAAAGUCUCACAAUACCAUGGGCUUCUUUUCUGCCCAAGGAUUUUGAAUUUGUGGGUCAAACCAACGUCAUAUUGUCUAGUUAUUAUUAGUAUUUUUUCUUUCAUUGAGUCUAUUAUGAUGAAGUAUGAAUGCCAGACACGGUUUAGUUUAAAGUUCAUAGUUUUAUUGUUUAUUGUUCACCUAAUUCUUUUGAGAAUGCCUACUCAAUAAUAAAAUAUUUAUUUAUGCCAAAUAUCUUCUUUCUCUGAUUUAAUAAGUUAGCCUUAUAUGCUUGUAAAAUUGCAAGUUAUUAAUAUAUUAAAUUUUGUCCAAAAAAAAAAAUAAUGUGCAAGUUAUUUAUAGUAUUUGAUUUAAUCAGAUAUGUUUUAGCUCAUCUUAUAAAAAGAAUACUAGUAUAUAAGUUGACACCUUAGUUUAUUAUUAACUUUUACGUCAUUAAUAUGUUUUUGAUAUUUCUGUUCGAUAAAAAAAAGAGGUAUUCACGAGUAUUCAGACAUCCAAAUCAAUGACAUUCGAAAGUGUGAGGUAUUUAUAAUUAGAAUAAUGUGUACAUUUACGUGAUGUCGCUUUAGAAUUUUAUGCACUUGACAUCUGUAAGACUGAAAAGAUGUCAGUGGAUAUUUCUAUGUACAAUUUGAUAGCCUGCUAGUUGCUAUGAUUAGACACUAUAAGAAAAAAAAAUGGUGACACAUAAGAUGCGACGGUUUUAUUAAAAUCGUCAUUCUCUAUAUAAAAAUUUGUUUAAACGGUCAAUGCUCUUGGAUCCUGAGAGUAUUAUUUGCCUACUUUGAUGUGGUUCACAUGAGUCGAUAACUCAUCUAUUUCGGACAUAUGAUUUGGCGGCGUCCAUCAUAUGAUUUUUAGAUGGUUUGAUCGAUGCUUAGUUCUUUCUAGGGACCUUUCGAUUAUUUUUCAAGUGUUUAGAUCGUUAUAUGGUAAGUCUUUAUUUAUGGGUGGAUUAUAUAUGAUUUGGUAUUGUGUAGUUUACUUAAUUUGAAAUUCCGAAAUGAUAUUGUUUCUUCUAAUUCUUCUACUAACGUAAAAGAUGUCGAAAAUAAUAGUAUUAUUUUGACUUGAAAAUAGUUUUUGGUUGAACUACGUAAAAUCUUGUGUUUUCUCUGUUUAGCUAGAGAAUUCUAUUUUUUGUCUGACUUGAUAGCAUGUUAAGUGUCUUGGCUCUUGAAGUGAAGUAUUCCUGCGGGUUUUCAAGAGGUUUUUUUUUUCCUAAAACUUUUUUAAGCUACGGAAUAAUUUCAGGCUGGGUUGGAUCUACCUGUAAAUGAACAUAUUCAGAUAAUUAAUGAUUAGUUUGUUUUUCAUCGAUGAGUUUGUGAUCGACCCACACCACUAUACACACUUAAUAAAUGCACCUUUGGAGUCAGAUCAGGGAAAUUAUUAGGGUUCAUAGUCAGCUAGAGAAGGAUCGAAGUUGAUAUUGACAAAGUCAAGGCCAUCCAAGAUAUGCCAGUCUCGAGGACAGAAAAAGAGGUUUGUGGAUUCCUAGGGAGAUUAAACUACAUUGCUAGGUUCAUCUCGCAUCUUACAGCCACUUUUGAACCAAUCUUCAAGUUGCUCCAGAAAGAUCAAGUCAUCAAGUGGAAUGAAGGUUGUCAAAAUGCCUUUGACAGAAUCAAAGAAUAUUUGUGAGAGCCACCUAUACUAAUACCACCAAUUCCUAGAAUACCACUCAUAAUGUAUCUAACAGUACUUGAUGAUUCAAUGGGCUAUAUGUUGGGGCAACAAAAUAAGACCGAAAGGAAGGAACAUGCAAUCUACUAACUGAACAAGAAAUUCACUGAUUGCAAAUACCGAUAUUCGCUCUUGGAGAAAACUUAUUGUGCUCUAGUCUGGGUUGCUCGGCUUCUGAGACAAUACAUGGUAAGUCAUACUACUCUACCGAUAUCCAUGAUGGAUCCUAUCAAAUAUAUUUUUAAAAAUACGGCAGUAACUGGAAGAAUAGCCCGGUGGCAGAUGCUAUUGACUGAGUACGACAUCUAAUAUGUCAGACAAAAAGCUAUCAAAGGAAGUGUGUUAGCAUAUCAUCUUGAUCAUCAGCCAAUGGAAGACUAUCAACCUAUACAGUUUGACUUCCCCGACGAAGAUAUUAUGGUCGUAAAAUAUUGUGAGAUCCCAAGUCUAGACGAAGGACCUAAAUUAGGAUCACGAUGGAAACUUAUACUAGACGGUGCCUCAAACGCAGAAGGACAUGGAAUCAGGGUUGUCAUAACUUCUCCAACAGGUUUCCAUAUUCCUUUCACAGAUAGGUUAUGCUUCACUUGUACUAAUAACAUGACAGAGUACUAGGUAUGCAUCCUAGGGAUAGAUGAAACCAUUGACCUAAGAAUCAAGAUCUUAGAAGUAUAUGGAGAUUUCGCUCUUGUCAUCAACCAAAUCAAAGGAGAAUGGGGGACUCAUAAUUCCAAGCUAAUCCGGUACCGAGACCCUGUCCGAAAAUUGUUCACCUGCUUUGAUGAGAUCAUUUUCCAUUAUAUUCCCCAGGAGGAGAAUUAAAUUUUACAUCAUAAAUAUGUUUUUGAUGAAUCUAGAGAGAAUACAUGUUGAUCAGUCAUAAACUUUCUUGUUUGUAAAUGUACUAAAUACUAGUACGAUGCUUCUAAUGUAAAUUGUGAACACGUUCAUUUUUUUUAAUAGAUGUGUUUACAAAGUUAACAGCUUAAACAUUUAUACAUUGAAAGGAUUUGUUUUUAAAAAAUCUAUUUAAUUCACAAGUGAGAAAGUAAACUAAAAUUAGAUGGUGAAAUUUGUUGAUUGAUUGGAUGUCUUGAUAUUUUUGUUCGAUCGAAAAAAGAGGUAUUCGCAAGAACUCAAACAUCUAAGUCAGCGACAUUUGAAAUUGAGGUAUUUAUAAUUAGAAUAAUGUGUACAUUUACAUGAUGCCGCUUUAGAACUUUAUUCAUUUGACAUUUGUAAGACCGAAAAGAUGUCAGUGGAUAUUUCUAGGUACAAUUUGAUAGUUGUGCUCCGGCUAGUUUCUAUGAACAAACACUACAAGAAAAAAUAUAUAUUUUGUGACACAUAAGAUGCGACAGUUUUAUUAAAAUUGUCAUUCUUCAUGUAAAUCUACUUAAGCGAUCAACGCUCUUGGAUCCUGAGAGUAUUAUUUUGCCUACUUUGAUGUGGUUCAUAUGAGUCGACAAUUCAUUUAUUUGUGACAUGUGAUUUGGCGGCAUCCGUCAAGUAUAUGACUUUUAGAUCUUUCGAUUAUUUUUCAAGUGUUUAGAUCGUUAUAUGGUAAGUCUAUAUUUAUGGGUGGUUUAUCUAGGAUUUGUAUUACGCAGUUUACUUGAUUUGAAAUUCCGAAAUGAUAUUGUUUUUUCUAAUUCUUUUACUAACGUAAAAGAUGUCGAAGACAAUAAUAUUAUUUUGACUUGAAAAUAGUUUUUGGUUAAACUACGUAAAACUCUUGUGUUUUCUCUGUUUAGCUAGAGAAUUCUAUUUUUUGUUUGACUUGAUAGCAUGUUAAGUGUCUUGGCUCUUGAAGUGAAGUAUUCUUGUGGGUUUUUAAGAGGUUUUUUUUGCCUAAGACUUUUAAAAGCUAUGCGAGUAAUUUUCGGCUGGCUUGGAUCUACCUGUAAAUGAACAUAAUCAGAUAAUUAAUGGUUUAGUUUGUUUUUCAUCGAUGAGUUUGUGAUCGACCCACACCCAUAUACACAAUUAAUAAAUUAUAUAUAUAUAUAUAUAUAUGUGUGUGUGUGUGUGUGUGUGUGUGUGUGUGUGUGUGUGUGUGUGUGUGUGUGUGUGUGUGUGUGUGUGUGUGUGUGUGUGUGUGUUUGAGAACUCCAGGGAGCGCCAGAAGAGUUAAUGGCGUAUAUGUUCAUGAUCCAAGAGACCUUGAAGAGACCUUGACGUCACAUAUCCACCAAAAACCUUAAGGCAAUUGGGGUAUGACUCCCCUCUCUAAUAAACCCAAUAUUUACUCCAUUCUUAGUCGAUGUGAGAGUUUAACACUUUCACAUUUAAAACCCAACAAUCACCUCACAAUUGUGAGUCACCCACAUCACUAGCCUUAAUCCAUACUAGGAUCCACAUCCGCUCCCCCAUCGAGUCAACCAGACUAUGAUACCACAUGUUAGAACAGAAACAUGAAUACAUACCAGAAUAGAGAGAACCACACAAUAGUUUUGCUUAUGCAAUUCGGCCAGUGAUGCUUAUUGCCUACCUCUACGAUUAUAUAGCAGCUAUAGUUCCCUUUAUGUAUGUCUUGUAAAGUGAUUAGAUUAUAGUGUUACAAGUCAUAUAUAUAAUAUCAGUUUUUAGUUUAUCUAAAACUCUAAUCCCUAGUUUCCCUCUAGAAAUAAUUAUCCAUGCCCAUAAUUAUCUCAACAAUAUGAGAUAUUCUCUCAACAACCUAUAGUUAUCUCAACAACCCAUAAUUAUCUCAAAAAUACGAGCUAUACUCUUAAGAACCCAUAGUUAUCUCAAUAACUCAUUGUUAUCUCAACAAUAUGAGCCAUAUAAAAAAAUUCUCCACCUUGGCAAAUAUCAAACCCCUAUGAGGAUUUCUUGAAUAAUGAUUCAUCCUGGAAACUAGGGGGAUACACCUCCUGCUUAACAUUGAGAAACAUGUAACAAGUCUAAACAGUGUUUAAACUUGUCAUUGGCUUAGUUAACAUAUCAGUUUCAUUCUCUGAAGUUUGAACCUUCUGAAGUAAUAUUUUUAUGGACGCCAACAACUCCCUAAUCUGGUGGAACAUCACAUCAAUAUGUUUGGUCUUGACAUGAUACACCUGAUUGUUCACCAAAUAAAUAGCAUUCUGACCAUCACAAUGCAACUGAACUCCACCUGGCUCAACACACAACUCUUUCACUAACUCUGUAAGCCCCAAUGCUUCUUUGGCAGCUUUAGCUAGUGCCAUCUAUUCUACCUCAGUUGUAGACAUAGCUAUUAUAUAUUGAACUGGUGAAUUUCAGCAUAUAGUCCUCCUUCCCCCCGCAAGAGUAAAGACAAUACCCUAUUGUAAACCUUAUAUCAUCUAGAUCACCUGCAUAGUCAUAAUCCACAUAUCCCACAACUAAUGGAACACCCUGCUUCAUGCUAAACAUGAUACCAUAAUCCAUUAUACCCUUCACGUGCCUUAGGAUUCAUUUUAUUACUUCCCAAUGUUGCUUCCCUGGCUUGGACAUGAACUUGCACACUUGACUAACUGCUUGUGUUAAAUUUGGUCUAGUGCAAACCAUAAUAUACACCAAACGAACAACUACACUAGAAUAAGGAAUCUUAGACAUGCCUUUAAUCUCUGAGUCCGUCUUUGGACAUUGUUCCAAAGAGAGCUUAAAAUAAUUCGCCAAUGGAGUACUUACAGACUUUGCUUUGCUCAUGUCAAAUCUGCUCAAAACACCUUCAACAUAGCUUUUUUGAAACAACCAUAUUUGAUUAGCUCCUUUGUCCAUGUGAAUUUCCAUCCCAUGGAUCUUCUUUGUAGCACCCAGAUCCUUCAUAUCAAACUUCUUACCCAACCUAGUCUUUAACUCAUUUACAUCAUGAAAUUGGUUGGCAUCAAUUAAAAUAUCAUCAACAUAAAGUAACAAGAAAAUAAAAGAACCAUCAUCAAGGCUCCUUGCAUAAACACAACGAUCAUAAUCACACCUUUUAUAGCCAAUCUGGAGCAUGUAUGAAUCAAAGCACAUGCACCACAUCCUUGGAGCUUGCAAACAAGACUUCCAUGUCCAAUAUCACUGAAUCCCUCUGGUUGCUCCAUGUAGAUUUUCUCCUCUAGAUUACCAUGGAGGAAAGUUAUUUUCACAUCCAUCUGCUCUAAAUGCAUAUUCCUGCUGGCUAUCAGGGACAAUACUACUCUGAUAGAAGUGUGUCUAACCACCAGACUAAAAAUAUCAUCAUAAUCAAUCCUCUUUUGUCGUGAAUACCCCUUUGCAACUAGGCGAGCCUUAAACUUUUCCCCUGAUUUUUUUGUUACUGUUGGCUUUUUCUUGUACACCCACUUGCAACAAAUAUCUCUAUUUCCAUGUGGUAGCUAAAUCAUAUCCCAUGUCUUAUUCUUUUUAAAGGACUUCAUCUCCUCUACCAUAACACCCAUCACUUAUCUUUCUCCUGGCUAGCCAUAGCCUCUUGAAAAGUAUAAGGGUUUCCUGAACUGAUAAGAAGAGCAUAUGAUGUUAAGUCUUAAAACCCAUAUCUCACUGGAGGUGUAAUACGUUGAGACUCCUUAUCACACAUAAGUGUAUAGUAUUUUACUCCAUCUAAAUCUUGUAUUGCACCUUAUUUGAACCUGGUUCAUCCUGCCGGUGGGCUACAAUCUACCUUGGACUCACUUGUGGCUCCUUAAUGCUCACUUGAAUCUUAUCCUGACUCGAAUUUUCUACCUCAUUCUCUUACAAAACUGUCACAUUUGUCUAUUUCAACAUCAAAUGUGUUAACUGAUAUUUUUGGUAAAUAAUCACUUAGUUUUGAAUAAUUACUUGCAGGAUCAAACUAGAAAAUCCUAAGAGAUUUUAUGCAUAAUUUUUGGAGAAUUUUUUUUCCAAGUGUCGUUGUGAGUUUAAAGAUAAGUGUCUUAUAAAGUAACAAGAAAAAAGUUUGAAAGUGAAAAGAAAUUAAAGGUUUCGACUAUGUCGAAAAUCACUAUCAAAAAAUUGGGAAAAGUAAUAAAGGGCAAAAAUAAUGUAAAGAAAAAAGUAAGAGUUAUUUCGAUUAAAUAAAUGAAAGUUGGUGUACAUAAUCAUACAUAUUCCGCACAAACUCAUUUCUCGCUCUGACUUGGUUACUUUGAGCUCUAUAGAGAUUUUGUAAUGAUAUUUCCACCUAAUAUCUAAUGCUAGAAUCACUAUAUAUUUUAAUAUAGAAAUAACCGCUUAUAACAAAUAUAUCUUCAACGUUCAACACGUAACCCUUUGUGUAACUUCCAGUCCUCCAACUUAUUCCCACGUGUCUUCAAUGUUUGGAUAAGAUCAAAAAAUAGUUAUUCAAUCUUAUCCUUUUAUCUUAUCUCAACUUUCAUGGUCGAUAGUUCAACUUGUCGAGUUAUGAGGAGAAAUAUUCUCAUAAUUCUAGAAAAAAGCUAAGUCUGAAAUCCAUGGUCAGUAUGUUGAACUCGAUAUCAAUGGUUGAACACUACUCUUGUUUCACAUAUAACCAUAUGUCAUUAUAUUUAACUAAGUAUUAUUUAAGCAUCAUAAUUUAUUUGUCGAACUUAGCACAUCAAGAAUUAUAUGCUAACAAAUUGUCCCUUAAAAAUGCUACUUUCAACCAUCUGAGAGACAAGUGGCUUUUUUUAAAAUUCCAACAUUAUUCGUAGUAGUGCGCUGAUGUCAUCGUCAGCAUAACCACUUUAUCAAAAUGUAUUUUCGAGAUGUGCACCUAAAAGAUUUUCAUAAUGGCUAUGUUUUCCCAGGAAGAGCAUGGGCUACACAUUAAAUAACCUUUUCCAUUCCAUCUCUGAAUGAAAAUAAAUUUGGACACUAAAGAGUGUCGCGUUUACUUUCAAGAGAGAGAAAAGGACAAAUGAAAAGUCUUUCUCAUAUGACUAUAAAUAUCCCAUAUUUCACCAUUUUUUCUUUUCCCCACUUAAUAUUUAAUUUUCCCAGUCUUUGCAAGACGAAAUCGACUUAUCUAGAGGGAGGUGAAUAGAUCCCAAGUUAAAAAACUUUACAAAAAUUAUUUUGAAAAUUUUAACGGCUAGCGGAAGUGACCUGGAUCGAAUCGUCUAAACCGAACCGCUAUUGAAAAACCCGGAAAUGCAUAUAUAGAAUCAAGUUAUGUUAAUGAGAAAAAAUUGAUCAAAAUAAUUUUAACAACAAUCACUUGAAUUCUACAAUAAAAGUAAAGUCUAUUUCCAAUGACAAAAUACACAAAAAUGCAAUUGAGAUAAAUUAUCGAACAUCUUGUGUGCAAUCAAUUUCGUUUAGAAUUUUAUAUGAUUUUGUUGAUUUACAAAUCCAACCAUAAUCUAAUAGAUUGUGAUCAAAUUAACAAAACCUUUUUCAAAAGGUUAUCAAAAAGUUUAACCAAACGUAUUGAUCGCAUAAUUGAUGAACUCGACAAUUAACAAAUGAAAAGUAACACACACACACACACACACACACACAGAGAGAGAGAGAGAGAGAGAGAGAGAGAGAGAGAGAGAGAGAGAGAGAGAGAGAAGAGAGAGAGAGAGAGAGAGAAAGAGAGAGAGAGAGAGAGAGAGAGAGAGAGAGAGAGAGAGACUAAAUUGGACGUUAUCAACACUGAUUCUAGAUAACACCCAAACAAAAAAUGAUUAUGUGUAAUUUGUUUGUGUGUAUGCAUAGAACAUGAGUUGAAGAUGGAGGGAACUCUUUGUAUAUUCCUGGUUUCAUAUUUGAUUUUCUCAACCCUUUGAAAUGAUGCAUGUAUGAAGUAUAUAUAUGUCAGUGUGCAAGUUGGAGGCAAAAAGGAAUGCAAUAGGUUUAGAAAGAAUGCACAUUUUUCAAGUUUUUUAAUGUAUGUGUCGACCUCUGCAGGUCAUGUGUCGACACGUUCGAUGCAUGUUUUGACUUGUAUAGAUCAUGUGUCAACUCAUAGAAUAAAAUUUUCUUCUAUGUGUCGACCUAAAAUCCCUCCAUAGUUGGCACAUCAAAUAGAAGUUACAUGCUUUAAAAUUGAACUACAAGUGUCGACUCAUAAUUCGUAUGUGUCGACUUAUAGAAGCAUUUUUAUUUUAUGUGUCGACCUUAAAUGAUUUAUAUGUCGACCCAUACAUUACAUAAGUUACAAUAUUUAAAAUGAUCCACAUGUGUCGACUCAUAGCAUGUAUGUGUCGACACAUAAACCUGUUUUACACAUAAAAACCUAUUUUUAAUGCAUGAAACAUUUUCUAAACCAUUCCCAAGUUUCCUAAUACUAAGAUGCGCAUUUAGACUCAUAGAAUAUCGCCAAUAUACAUAAAUGCUAAAUUGUCCUAGUUUUGACAUCAUACAAAACAUUUCUAAUAGGAAGGUUCACUCACAUACUCCCCCUUUCUUAUGAUGGCAAAACUUGUGAUAAUGCAUUUGAUGUCUUCAUGAAGGCUCCCCCUGAAUGUGUGCAUCCUAGAUUCAUAGAUUUCAUAUGCUUCUCCCCCUUUGAUAAUAUCAAAAAGAGACAAAACAAGUCAUUAGAAAUAUCACAUAGAUUCAACAUAUCACCUAUAUCAUAUACCAAGAUUACACAUAGGCGUUUGCAAAGAAAGAGUGUGCACUCACAUACACUACAUGCGCGAAGUUACACAAAUUGAAUUACUUAAACAUAAAUAGAAAGGAAAUUUAAACAACAUUAUAAUAAUGUCAUCUGAAAGCCAAUACACAUAACAUAACCAUUGUCUCACUUCAAACAAGUGAUAAAAUUGUUAAUACAUAAGCUUAAAGACAAAAUAAACCAAAAGAAAACACAAAAUGCACGACGAAUCAAAACAUGAAAUGCAUGAUAGAAAUGCUCUAAAAGAGGUUUAACCCAAAGACACAAAAUCUCAUCACUUCAACAUCCUCCACAACCUCUAGGAAUUUGCCUCACACCAUGAUGCCAACCUUGUCUAUCAUUUCCAAAGUGAUGAUCCAAGAAAUCGCACAUCUCUCGGUAGAAUUGUGCAUAUUGGUAGUCAUUCUCAUUUUGAAUAUAAAUCAUGUGAUUUAUCCUGGAAAUUAUAGUAGCAUUAUUAUAAUCCAUCUCAUUGCGCAUAGAGACAAGCUUUUCAGUCACAUAAGAGGAAAAAUCUUCAAAGUUAGUGUCUUAUGUUGUCACGUGCUCAUGAAUGAGACGAAAUCGUUCCACUUGAGCUACCUCAAAAGCAUAUCGCCUCCGACAAUCCUCCUCGUAGCGCUCAUCUAUCUUAACCUGUAUGUUUUGAAGCAUAGUGAUAAUGGAAGAUUGAUUUCCAUAUUCAACACCAUUUAUGCUACCUUGACCAUCCUCGUGAUCAACAUCUUGCAAAAUUGCAUCAUGUUGAUGAACACCAUGAGGAACACCAAUAGGUUAAUCAUCAACAACAUAUGGCUCAGAUACAACAUCAACAAACUUAGCGGAGCCAUCAAAGUUAUAAAUUUUCUUACCAUUCUUGCUAACACAGAAUUAAUACACCUGCGGUCUUCAUCCGAAAAGCAUCCCAUGUUGGUUAAAGUGCGUUGGGAGAACUCUUGAACCAUUAUAGGUGAUCUAUACUGAAGAUUUCAAAUGCCUAUCUUAAAGUAGUUUAAGAUUUUGGCAAUCAUAGAAACAUAACAAAAGGAAGUUCCUUUGUUACAUUAUUUGAUGGCAAACAUCCGAGACACGAAGUAGUUUGCCCAAUUUAUCCGAGUUUUGUUCAGAAGAAUGUAGACAAGGUGGAUUCCAACAUUGUAAAUCCUUGAGUAACCACCAUUUUUUGGGUAUAACACGUGAGAAACACGCCAGAGCAAAAUGGAGGAACCAUUUUCAACUGACUGGUUAUUAUGAUUUCGAUGCAGUCAUCAGACCGUGGAGCCUUAAGCAACUCAUUCAUGUGAAUGCUCCAUUUAAAAUCUUAAUGAAGGUUGAUAUAUUUCAACAAGAAUUAAACAUCAGCACUAACAAUAAUAGUUCCAAACAACGACUUCCAAAGAUCAUCAGUAAAAUCAUAAACCUCAUUACCUGUUAUGAACUUGAAGGUGGAGCCACGUCUAUCAUGGAGCCCGAAGUAAAACACAUGAAUGAUCUUUAUUGUAAUCUUGUGAAAGAUUCAAGAAGUGGUUGAUUUGUUGAUGCUCAACAAGACGAACAACCUCUGGAAUGUCCAAAAAGCCAACAAUAACAGGUUCCAAACAUGUUGCUUCAUAACAAGGCGAUUUUGGUGUUUCUCUUCAAAUUCCUCAACACACGUAGAAGAAACCAACGAAAAGGCAGUUUCUGGAAUGGUAGAGGAUGUGGUAGCUUUACCCUUACCCUUGAUAUCACUCUUGUUUCUUGAAAUCUUUGGUGCCAUGGAGAAUUUUUCAAAAUGAGUUCUCACGGUAAGUGUUUGACAGAAUGUGUGAAAGAGGAAUGAAGUUGUUUGAGGGAUAUAUGAGUACCUACAAACCCAAACCAGAGGUAGAGAUGCUUAAACACACUAAGAUGACAAUGAAACCUAAAAAUGAAUGUAAAUUUGGAGUUUGGAGGGCUUGGGUGUGAUUUGAAAGAUGUGAGGAUGAGGGUUUUAAAAGAGGAAAUAUGAGGAUAAUGAAUGGGUGUGAUGAUAGAACGAAGAGGCUUAAUGAUAUGUUGGAAAAAGGAGUGAUGGAUGAGUUAUGGUGAAAGAAUUUAAUAGGUAAAGUGGAUGAGACAAUGACAAAUGAAAUGUAUCAAGACCCAAGUAGAAAUGAAGAGGUGUGGUGUUGGAUGCUUGUAUGAAGAGAUAAUGAGGAAUGCAUUUUUUCUUUGUAAAACAUGUUAUGAGCCAACCUGUUGGAUGCAUGUGUCGACCUAAAUAGGUCAUGAAGCGACACACUUGACACAUGUGUCUACACAUACUGAAUCAAAUUUUAAAAAUUCUGAAAAUUGAUUUAAUGAGUCGACCUAUACGAAACAUGAGUCGACAUAUGAGGUGCAACAAGUGAAAAUUUUGAAACAUAAGAUUUUGGGUUGACCUUGAAAGAGCAUGAAGAGUUUUUGAAAGACACGUGGAAAUGAUAAUUUUUCAUGGUUUGGUAGUAAUUAACAUGCAAACACACAUAUGUAAGCAUAAAAUAUUAACAAUAUAGAAUACAUGUGAGGAUAUUAAGAUGAGGUCACCAUAAACAAAUAAAUUGAAACGCAUCAUGGUUAUCAAUUGUAAUUUUUAAAAAUGAACACUCAUAACAUGUAUCAUACACAAAUUAUAUCAUAUACCUUUAAAGAAUAAAUAGGUAAAAGAAAGGACUCACUUACAAAGCGAAAAUUGAAACAAUAUUACCUCACUGUAUGAAUGAUAGAGGAUGCACAUGCAUUUCAUGAGGAACUCCCGAACGAAAGUUGGAACUGAUGCAAAACGUGACACAAAAUCUUUUGACAUUAACGCUCUUACCACUUUUCUCUUUGUCAAAGUAUCAUAUAACGUGAUUUGUAAUGAAUCAUAGAAAGUUAUUGAUUUGAUGAUUAUCCUUUUUGGUUGGACUUUCAUUCUUGUCCUUUUCAUGAUAGUUAUCUUACUCCUCCUCAUGUUUCAUCGUCUUAGGUUGAUCAAUCUCUUAUUCGAUGUCCUUGAGUAUGUCUUUUAAAGAUAGACUGGCAUCAUGAAACAAAAUACCUUUUCCAAAAUUUCUCAGAUAGGAAGCAUUAAAAUUAAUCUACACAUCUUUUACCAAUUAAUGAACACUAUUGUCUUCCUUGGUCACAUAAUCCUUCUUCCUUGCCACAAAGUCAAUGAAAUAGGGAGAUGUCACCCGUCAUAUGUCUUGAGCAUCCACAAACUAUAACUCAUAUUCUCUUCAUAGAGGCAAGACAUUUAUCCAGAAGGAUCAACAAAAAAUGCUAGUUAUCCAAUUUUCAUUGGGUCCUUGAGGAUGAGUGAAAUCAAGAUUGCAUUUGGGAAACCAUUGAAAAACACCUUUAGGAACAAAGAGUCUCCUAAACUUGCAUUUUUCAAUAGUGUGACCUUUUUUGCAACAAUAGUGACAAGAUAAGUUGUGAUGAGAUGUACUUUUGCUAUUUGAACAUAUUUACACUUUUUAUAUGAAGGGUUCAAAGACCGCUUAGACUUUGAUGGAUCAAUAGAAAAUGUAACCUUUGGGUGUAAUGCCUUGUCCAAUUUAGCUUUAAGAGUAUUUACCUCUUUUUGUCAAAUGUGACAAGUUUCAUAAUGAACCAUGAAAGUUCUUCAUCCCCAUUCUUAUAUUUUUGAAUAUCUACCAUAGAUUACUUAAGAGCUUCCAUAUUCUUUUCAGUUUCUAAAACUUUAGCUUCUAAAUGUGAAAAGAUUCUUUUGUUUCAAGCUAACUUUUUAAAAGCGUAUACGGCUUCUCUAUGUAGAUUUUCAAAAGCUUUUUGUAAUUGAGAAUAAGACAACUCAUUAAUAGAUUCAAGUUUAGAACGACUCACAUUCUUCUUCUUUUUUGUUGGCCAUGAAUUAAAGCUUGGCUGAUUCGUCACUUGAACUUGAGCUUUCAUUACUUGAAGAAACACAUUGACUCUCCCAAGCAAUAUAGGCUCUUCUAGACUUGAUAUAUUUCUUGUGAUGACCUUUCUCUUUGUCUUUCAUGAUCAAUGGACAAUUUGGCUUAUAAUCACCAACUUUUCCAUAAUAGUAGCAUGAACCUCUAUGUUUACUCUUCUUAUUAUCAUCUUUCUUUGAGGAGUUCAAUAGCCUUCUAAAGUUUAUUAGGUUCUCGUUGGAGUGCUUGACUCCAUUUUUCCUUAUGUACCUAUUGUACCUUUUGACGAACAACCUCAUUUCUCUAUCAUCGAAAUUCUCGCCAUCACUUGUUUCACAAUCACUUUGCUCAUUGGUUAAGGACUUUGAACUUGAAGCCUUUAGAGCAAUAAACUUAUUUCCUACCUCAUUUUUCUUUCCUUUCUCCUUCUUUAUCUUCUUCUCGUGCUUUUUCUAAUGUUUUCCCAAGCAAACGAGUUCUUGCUCAACUUCUUCUAGCUUGCCAAAUAAAGUUGUGAGAUCAAGUGUUCUAAGAUCAUUCACUUCUUUGAUAGCGGUGACCUUAGGUUGUCAUUCCUUAUUAAGACACCUCAAAACUUUAUUAGUAGAAAUAUAAUUGGAAAUAGGCUUAGCUAGAGCAUUCAAAUGAUUUAUAAGACACGUGAACCUCUUUUGCAUGUCGACAAUGGUUUCACCAUGCUUCAUGCAAAAUAGUUUAAACUAUUGAGUUAAGGUAUUGAUCCUAGCUAGUUUUACUUCAUGAGUUCCCUCAUGGCUAACUUAUAAUGCAUCGCACAUAGCUUUGGCGGCUUCACAACGGGAAACAUGAUAAUAUUCAUUAACACCAAGUGCGGAUAUGAUAAUAUUUUGUGCCUUCCAAUCAUGUGACCAUAAUUUCCUAUCAUUAUCACUCCAUUGUGCUUAUGGUUUUGGUACAACAACAUCUUCACCAUUGGUCAUUGUAAUUUGAUUAUGACAAUUAGUGAUGACGUCCCAUACACCCUUAUCAACUGAGUUGAUAUGGAUGCACAUAUAAUCUUUCCAAUAGCCAUAGUUUUCACUCGUAAAUAUGGGCGCUCUAUUGUACGCCCCUUUAGGUUCACUAGCCAUUUUCUAAUAAGUGAAUAUUGAAGCACAUAAUUAACCGAAGCUCUUGAUACCACUUGUUAUACGAAGGCGACUUAUCUAGAAGGGGGGGUGAAUGGAUCCCAAGUUAAACAACUUUACAAAGUUGUUUUGAAAAAUUUAACGGCUAGCGGAAGUGACCCGAAUCGAAUCGUCUAAACCGAACCGCUAUCGAAAAUCACGAAUAUGCAUAUAUAGAAUCAAUUUAUGAUAAUGAGAACAAUUGAUCAAAAUAAUUUUAACGAUAAUCACUUGAAUACUACAAUAAAAGUAAAGUCUAUUUCCAAUGAAAAAAUACACAAAAACGCAAUUGAGACAAAUUAUCGAACAUCUUGUGUGCAACCAAUUUCGUUUAGAAUUCUGUAUGAUUUUGUUGAUUUUCAAAUCCAACCACAAUCUAAUAGAUUGUGAUCAACUCAACAAAAUCUUUUUCAAAAGGUUAUCAAAAAUUUUAACCAAACGUAUUGAUUGCAUAAUCGGCGAAUUCAACAAUUAACAAAUGAAAGUAAAAGAGAUAGAUAGAUAGAGAGAGAGAGAGAGAGAGGAUUACACAAGGAUUUGUUUAGGAAGUUAUUAAAUCGACCUCGCUAUCGGUAUGUCUUCCCUCAAUUCGAACUCGAAUUGAGAUAAUGAAAAUUAACCUUUGCAAUUGUAGUUUACAAGAAAAGAAAUAGCAAUUCAACCAUCUAAACCCUAUGUUUGAUGUUGAUCCUAUCUUAUUUUCUUCCCUUGAUCAAAGCUCGAUCAAGUAACCGAAGAAUACCAAUUUGAUCUACCAUCUCAUGCUUCUCCUUUGCAAGAAACCUCGUUCUUCACAACUUUCACUCGAUCGAAUCAAAACUUCAAAUUAUUGUCACCCAAGAUUUACCAACAUGAUCCAUCGUCUCACGUUACUCCUUUGUAAGAAACUUUGUUCUUCAAAGCUUUCACUCGAUCCAAUUUAACUUGCAUAAUUUUUUCCAAAACCUUCAAGUAACCAAUUAUUCUUGAAGGAAAACCCUGACUUGAUUUUCUUAUUUGAAACCCCCAAAGAUUCUUAACCCAGUUUACAAUUCAACAACCUAAAUCGGAUGUUAUCAACACUGAUUCUAGAUGACACCCAAACAAAGAAUGAUUAUGUUUAAUUUAUUUGUGUGUAUGCAUAGUACAUAGGUUGAAGAUGAAGAGAACUCUUUGUAUAUUCCUGAAGAGAACUCUUUGUAUAUUCCUAUAUAUAUAUAUGUGUGUGUGUGUGUGUGUUGGGGGGGGGGGGGACAAGUUAGAGGCAAAAAGGAAUGCAAAAGGUUUAGAAAGAAUGCAAAGUUUUCAAGAUUAUUAAUGCAUGUGUCGACUUCUGUAGGUCAUGUGUUGACACAUUCAAUGUAUGUGUCGACUCAUAGAAGAAAAUUUUCUUUUAUGUGUCGACUUAAAACCCAUCCACAAUCGACACAUCAAACAGAAGCUACAUGCUUUAAAAUUGAACUAUAUGUGUCGACUCAUAUAAGAAUUUUUCUUCUGUGUCAACCUAAAAUGCUUUAUGUGUCGACUCAUGCAUGACAAAAGCUAGAAUCUUUGAAAAUGAUCUACAUUUGUCGACUCAUAGCAUGUAUGUGUCGACACAUAAAUCUGUUUUACACAUAAAAACUUGUUUUUAAUGCGCAAAACCUUUUCUAAACCACUCAUAAGUUUUCUAAUACUAAGAUGCGCAUUUAGACUCAGAGAAUAUCGUCCAAUAUACAUAAAUGCUAAAUUGUCCUAGUUUUUACAUCAUACAAAAUAUUUCUAAUAGGAAGGUGCACUCAUAGUCUUGACCCUCUUUUUUUCCCACUUAACAUUGAACUUGAACCUAUUUUUCUUUCCAGAAUCCACUACCUUACCCUUGACUCUGCGAUGGUUGUGACCUCCCUUCGCAAACAAACAUUCACCCGAACUUCCCUCACCUUCCUCUACAUUUUGACGAUGUUGUGAGUGUUGCAAAACGGUAGAUGAAAUAGAAUCCAUUGUGAUUGAUUCCUUUCCGUAUGUGAGAGUGGUCACCAAGUGAUCAUAAGAUCUUGGUAAAUAGUACAACAAAAUAACGACUUUAUCCUCAUCAUCACCCUUCACACCAAGUUGUGUCAAAUCAGCAAGGAUGUUGUUGAAAGCAUUGACUUGAGCCUGCAAAUCGCCUCUUUUCUGCAUCUUCAGACUAUAGAUACGAUGCUUCACGAACAAUUUGUUCAUGAACGUCUUGGACAUGUAGUGAUUUUCUAAUUAUCUCAAACAUCCUUCGGAGUUGUGAGAUCAAGGAUAUGAUUCAUUACUUCAUCAAAAAUGCAAAGUCUUAUCAAACCUACAGACUUCUCCUUCAUCUCGUUUCAAUCAAUGGUUGCGAUAUCCGUCGGUUUCUCAUCAUGAAAUACCUUUUGUAAACCUUGUUGAGCCAACAAAUCCCUAACCCACCUUUGUCAUAAACAAAAAUUCCCUUUUUCGUCGAACCGAGUCACUUCGAACUUCGCACAUAUAAGAUUAAACUCAUUUGAUACCAAUUGUUAGGGAGACUAGGGAGCGUUGGAAGUUUCAAUUGGCUAAAUUUUCAUGAUCCAAGAGACAUUAACGCCACAUGUCCACCAAAAACCUUAAAGCAAUAAGAGUAUGAGUCAUCCCUCUUAUAAAUACAAUAUUUCCUCCAUUCUCAGUCGGUGUGGGACUUCAACACUUUCACACUUAAAAACCAACAAAAUCUCUCACAAGUGUGAGUCACCCACAUCACUAGCCUUGAUCAACACUAGGAUCCACUUCCGCUCUCACUGAAUUAACUAGACUCUUAUACCACUAGGAUCCUUUAAAUUGAAUAUAAUCUAAGAGUUAAAUUAAUAUUUUUCUUAAUUAACCAUUCGACUAAAUCGAAUUUUAAUCGAAUUUAAUAUUAUGAUUUAGAGUAAACUAAAAAAAUUAUUUUUGAAAUAACUUGAUCUCAAUAUAUAUAUACAUAUAUAUAUAUAUAUAUAUAUAUAUAUAAUAUAUAUAUAUAAUAUAUAUAUAUAUAUAUAUAUAUAUAUAUAUAUAUAUUUUUACUUCAAUUUUUUUUUUAAUUUACUCUAAAUUUUAACUCUAUUUUUAUUAAUCUAACAAUUUUAAUAAAUCAUUUAACUAAUUUUUGCCUGCUUACUAACUAAAAUAAAUAUAUGUAAGAAUUUUGUCCUUACUAACUAAAAAAUAGAAAUUUACAAUGUUUAGUUUUUCAAUUUAACUAAUUUAUAGUCGAAUAUUCAAUCUCUCAUUUAUAUUAUUAUUAAUUUUUUAAUUACAUAACUGCCGACUUCCAUAACUGAUUUAGUGAAGAAAUUUAUCAGCCAUAACUUUAUUUUAAUUUUUGUGUGAUAGAAAUUGAACUGAUUCCCAACAAUUAUUACUACGACUCAUUCAAAUUUCAAAGUAAGAAAAAGACGAAAUUGAAUUGAAUGGCCUGGGUGGCAAAAAGAAAGGGAAAAAAAAAGAAGCAAAACCAUACUACCCAUUAUCCAAAAACUAUUUUAAUGGCCUAAAUUUUUAUAAAAAAUAAUUAAAAGAUUUUAACUUCCGAAUUAAUUAGAGAUCAAAUUUAAAAAUACUUUACAUAAAGAUAUCUCACAUUGUAAGGUUUUAUAAUUUAAGUAAUUUCAAUUCAUAUACUUUAAUAUAAAUAUGGGAGUAUAUAGGAUUGUGCGUGGUUUUUUAAACUGAAUCAAAUAUAUGAUACAAUUUUGUUCUUAAAGUUAGUUUAUUUUUCAAAAGUGGUUUUUAUUUGGCUCAGUUCUGUUCAAAUUGAUUCAAUAUUAAUAAUUGUUUUUUUUUGUUUAAAUCAGUUUGAAAAUCGGAUAUUCUUAGAACAAAUUUGAAAUCUAAUUUUUAUUUCAGAAAUUGUUUUAAUUGAAAUCGGAUGAUUGUGAUGUAUUGACAGUGUAAAAAAUUUACACCGACAGUGCAUAACAAUUAAUCUCAAAUAUAUAUAUAUAUAUAUAUAUAUAUAUAUAUAUAUAUAUAUAUAAUAUAUAUAUAUAUAUAUAUUAUAUAUAUAUAUAUAUAUAUAUAUAUAUAUAUAUAUAUGUAUAAUUAUUGAUUCUUUUGUAUGUGGAUAUUUGUAAUAUACAAGAAGCACCAACCAUUUUCUGUUUCCUUCAAUCAGCUUUCAUAACAACUUUCUAUUAUUGUUUCUUCUUCUUCUUGAAUGAAUCUUGAUUUCAUUACUUCAUAUGAACAUUAAUGCAUCUUGUCUUACCACUACAUUGCUUCAUAUGGACAUUGACAUGGUAUCAGAGCUUCACUAGCUCUGGUAGCCAUUGUUCUUCCUUUCCCUUCUCCAAUCGACUGCAUUUCUGUUCCUUUUUGCAAAUUCUUACUAUCUCUUCAUCUCUGUUUUCAUGGCUAACCAGAGCUUCACCGAUUUUUUCACAAAUUCCUCGAAUCCGUAUUACCUGCAUCUGAAUGAAAAUCCUUCAAUCAUCCUCGUUUCACCUCUUCUUGAUGACAAAAAUUACCAUACUUGGGCGAGAUCGAUGCACAUUGCGUUAAUCUCCAAGAACAAGGACAAGUUCGUUGACGGUACACUCACAAAACCUCCCGUUUCUGAUCCCUUAUACGCCCCAUGGAUUCGGUGUAACACAAUGGUUCUGGCGUGGAUUCAUCGUUCUAUUUCUGAAUCUAUUGCUAAGUCUGUGUUGUGGAUCGAAAGCGCAGAUGGCGUAUGAAAGAAUUUGCAGCUCCGUUUUUCGUAAGGUGAUAUUUUCUGCAUUUCAGAUAUUCAAGAAGAUUUAUACAAAUUCCGUCAAGGUUCUCUUGAUGUUUCGAACUAUUUCACCCAAUUGAAGGUAAUGUGGGAUGAACUCGAGAAUUAUUUUCCCGUACCAGCUUGUUCUUGCGCCAUACCGUGCUCUUGUGGUGCCAUUAGUUCAAUUCGCAAAUACAAAGAGCAAGACUAUGUUAUCAGGUUUCUUAAAGGAUUGAAUGAAAAGUUUACACAUUCCAAAUCUCAAAUAAUGAUGAUGCAGUCCCUUCCCACCAUUAACAAAGCCUUUUCAUUGGUGAUUCAAUAAGAAAGAGAGAUAAACUAUGCAGGGUCAUCCAUGGUAAUUCCUACUGCUUCAGCCAACGAAGAAGUAACUGCAUUUCAGCUUCGCGGCUCUUAUUCAGGACAUGCUAAUGGCAAGAAUGGUCAGACUUUCAGAGGCAAGCCACAAGGUGGAGCUCGAGGACACAACCAUGUUUGCACUCAUUGUGGGAGAACUAAUCACACAGUUGAGACUUGUUUCCUCAAGCAUGGUUAUCCACCUGGCUUCAAAGGUAAAGGUAAAACCCAAUCUUCCAAUACUUCAAAUCAGACUGUUAUUGCAUCUGUUCAUGCAGGGUUAGAUGAAUCUCAACCAAGUUUUGGUUUUACACAAGAUCAAUACAACAACAUUUUGGUCUUAAUUCAACAGUCCGAGCUUACACCUCAAGCCAAUUCCAUAUCCUCAUCACCCUUUGGCCUAAAUUCUCAUGCUUACAAUAAUCAUGGUAAGAACCCUAAUCUAUGGAUAUUUGAUACUGGUGCAACAUGCCAUAUUGCAUAUGACUUAGCCUCAUUUGAAUCAUAUAAAGACAUAAUUCCAGUACAUGUUAGUUUACCAGAUAGUUCUCAAAUUGUUGCUUCUAUGUCUGGUAGCAUAGUUUUAUCUCCCACCCUCCCUCUUCAUAAUGUCCUAUGCAUUCCCACUUUCCAUGUUAACUUACUCUCUAUUGCUAAACUUGUCAAUAGCAAUGACUGCCAUGUUAACUUCAUUGCUAAUUCUUGUACCAUUCUGCAGAACCAUUCCAAGGUAGUGAUUGGUACAACUAACCUACAAAGAGGAUUAUAUGUGCUUGAUGCUACUCCUCAAUCACAAGCCCUUCAUUCCAAUUCUGCUUCCUCUUGUAAUCUUUGGCAUAUAAGAUUAGGCCACAUCUCUAAUGAUGGUUUGAAAUACAUUUCCAAAGCUUUCCCUUUUAUUCCUUAUGUACACAAUAAUAUUCCUUGUGAUUCUUGUCAUUUUGGAAAACAAAAGAAACUUUCAUUUCAUAACAGUAUUACUGUUUCUUCUCUUCCUUUUGAAAUACUACAUGCUGACUUAUGGGGGCCAUUUGUCACCACUUCUACAUUGGGCCAUAGAUAUUUUUUUACUUUGGUUGAUGAUUAUACUAGGUAUAAAUGGAUUAUAUUCCUCAAAACCAAAGAUCAAACAAAGAAUAGUUUAAUACAGUUUGUAGCAUACAUUGAGACUCAAUUCAAAACCUCUUUGAAAUGCCUUAGAUCUAACAAUGGAAGUGAGUUUGUUGCCCUUAGUAAUUUCCUCCUAUCUAAAGGUAUCAUUCACCAAAAGUCCUGCGUUGAAACACCCCAACAGAAUGGGGUAGUAGAGAGGAAACAUCAACACAUAUUGAAUGUAGCUAGAACCCUUUUAUUUCACUCUUCAAUUCCAUUAAACAUGUGGAACUUCUGCAUACAUGCCAUACACCUCAUAAAUCGACUCCCUACUCCCCUACUGAAACUCAAAAGUCCUUAUGAAUUGCUACAUAAACAUCCUCCUAUUCUCAUCCACUUAAAAACCUUUGGAUGUUUGAGCUAUGCUACCUUAUUACAAGCCCACAAAACUAAGUUUGCACCUAGAGCUAGAAGAGUUGUUUUUCUUGGUUUCAAGGAAGGGACUAAGGGAUAUAUUCUCUAUGAUUUACAACAUCAUAAUAUCUUUGUGUCUAGGAAUGUAGUUUUUUUAUGAAACUUACUUUCCCUUUAAAACUCCUAACACAUCUGCACCUGAACCUGAAAACCCCACUCUCAUGUCUUAUCCCACCUAUGAUGAUCCACCUAUUCAACCUAUUCCCUCUUCCAUAACUCAUGACAGGAUUUCACCUCAAUCUCAUAUUCAGCCUGAUGUUGGUACACCUCAUCAGUUGGUCAUUAAUGACCAUUCCCACCUCAGUCUAACUUUACAACCUGUCAUGAAUGACUCUACACAAAUGUCCCACUCUAGUCCUUUGUUGGAUGCACAUAGGUCUGCUACUCAAACUAUUCCUAUCAGAACCUCUUUAACACCUUUACCAUUACCUAAUGGGCAAUCCCAUGUUUGCCCUGCUGUACCCACCACUACACAACAGCCUGCUACAACUGUUUCCCCUGAUGUACCCACCACUACACAACAGCCUGCUACAACUGAACAAUCACAUGUCCCUUUACCUGAACCAGAGCCAGCAAAUAAUGCAUAAAUUUUACAUAAUCGAAAUUCUACUAGAGUAUCUCAUCCUCCAAUUUAUCUUGCAGUUUACCAUUGCUAUAACACCAUACAUCAUUCUCCUAUCUCUCUUAACACCAAACUAAAGCCUUCCACUGUUGCAUAUCCCUUAUCCUCUGUGUUGACCUAUGAUCAUUGUUCUCCUUCUUAUAAACACUAUUGCCUUUUUAUAUCCUCUCAUGUUGAACCAAAGACAUUUAACCAAGCCAAUAAACAUGACUAUUGGAAGAAGGCAAUGAAUGUACAGUUGAUUGCUCUUGAGGAAAAUCAUACUUGGCAGAUUGUUGAUCUACCUCUUGGAAAAACACCCAUAGGUUGCAUAUUGGUUUAUAAAAUCAAGCAUAAGGCAGAUGGCUCCAUUGAAAGAUUUAAAGUCAGGCUAGUGGCAAAGGGAUAUACACAAAUGGAAGGUAUUGACUACUUUGAGACAUUCUCUCCUGUAGCCAAAAUUACUACAGUCAUAGUCCUUUUAUCAUUAGCUGUUGUUAAAGGUUGGCACUUAGAACAGCUAGAUGUGAACAAUGCUUUCCUUCAUGGUGAUUUACAUGAAGAGGUAUAUAUGACUCUCCCUCCUGGCUUAUCUGGUUAUGGUGAAUCUAAGGUGUGCAAACUGCAGAAAUCUUUAUAUGGCCUCAAACAGGCCAACAGGCAAUGGUAGUCAAAACUAUUCACCUUCCUUCUCUCACUUGGAUACACACAAUCCCAGGCUGACCAUUAACUUUAUGUUAAGAAGGUCAAACAUGAAUUCACUACACUACUUGUUUAUGUAAAUGAUGUGGUAUUGACAGGUAAUUCUUUGUCUGAGAUUCAACAGGUCAAACAUCUCUUGAAUCAAAAGUUUCUAAUCAAAGAACUUGGGCAGCUACGUUUCUUCUUAGGAUUUGAGAUUGCUAGAUCUUCUACUGGCAUUUUUCUUAAUCAAAGAAAAUAUGCUCUUGAACUCUUGGAGGAUGUUGGUCUCUUGGUAGCAAAACCAUUUGCAGUUCCCUUCAAUCCAACCCUGAAACUGUCAGCUGAUGAAGGCAAUGUUUUAGAGGAUCCUUCUCAAAAUAGAAGGUUAAUUGGCAGGUUGAUUUAUCUCACCAACUCACGCCCUGACAUUGCAUUUGCAGUACAGCAUAUGAGUCAAUAUGUAUCCAAACCACGUGCUCCUCAUUAUCAGAAUGCCAUUUAAAUUCUCAGGUACCUCAAAUAUGUCCUAACUAAAGGCAUUUUCUUUUCCUCCAACAACAAAUUACAGCUUUUUGGCUUUGCUAAUUCUGACUGGGCUAGAUGCCCUGAUACCAGGAAAUCAGUCAUUGGGUAUUGUGUAAUGUUAGGCUCCUCUUUACUAUGCUGGAUAUCGUGCAUUAGCUUCUAUCACUUGUGAAUUACAAUGGUUACAUUUUCUGUUUCGAGAUUUCCUAGUUCAAUUUGAGCAGCCUGUAUAUGUGUUUUGUGACAGCAAGUCUGCAAUUUACUUAGUGCAUAAUCCUACGUUUCAUGAACGUAGCAAACACAUUGAAUUGGACUGUCACUUGAUAUGGGAAAAGAUCAAUUCAAAACUUAUUCAUCUUCUUCCUAUCUCUACACAUAACCAGUUGACAAACAUUUUUACUAAACCCCUUCAUUCACCAUCCUUGAAGAAUAGUUUGGACAAGUUGGGAGUUUGUACCAUUCACUGCCCAACUUGAGGGGGAUGUUAGCAUAUAUAUAUAUAUAGCCUAUCAUAUGUACUAAUAAUUAUUGAUUCUUUUGUAUAUGGAUAUUUGUAAUAUACAAGAAGCACCAACCAUUUUCUGCUUCCUUCAAUCAGCUUUCAUAACAACUUUCUAUUAUUGUUUCUUCUUCUUCUUGAAUGAAUCUUGAUUUCAUUACUUCAUAUGAACAUUACUACAUCUUGUCUUACCAGUGCAUUGCUUCAUAUGGACAUUGACACUUUAUCUGAUUUUUGUUACCCAGUUUUUUUUAGCCUUUUUGUUUUGACUAGAAAUUCCUUCACAAAAUAAUUGCAUGUACCUCUCAUAAAGACCAUGCAAAUAGAAGAACAACAACAAAUAAAAUAUAGAUUACUAAAAUGAAUAAAGUCGAUUUGAAAUAUUUUUAACUCAAUUUAAUUCGAUAAAAGUUACUUUAGCUUAAAAUUUGAUUCAAAUUGACAUGGAUUUUUUUAAAGCUUAAAUCCAAUUCAUAUCCAUCACCAAUUCAAUUUAACUCAUUAAGUUCAAUUCAUUAUAUUUGAUUUGUUUUUUUAUGGAUUUAAAAAUUAUCUUUUUAAAUCUAAUAUUUUUUAAUAUAUUUAACAUUUUAAAUUAAUAUUUUAAAACAAAUUAUAAAAUAAAUUAAAUUAAAAUAUAAGAUUAAAAUUUAACUUCUUCUAAAAAAAUCUAUAGCUUCAAAAACUACACGACUUUUAAAAAAAAUCAUUUGAAGGUUUAAUUCAAAAAUUAUUCAAUUAAAAUUUAACUUUAUCUUAAAAUUUCAUAUUUAUAUCUAAAUCUUUAGGAACUUUAUAAAUAUAAUAAUAAUAAUAAUAAAAAAUUUAAUUAUCACCAUUAGUGUCUUAAAACUUCAUUAUACAUGUCUCUAAAUGGCAUUUUCUUUUCAAAUCAAUUGUAUUAAUGUCAAUUACCAAAUAUAAUAAUUAUAUGGUUUUUAAAUAAUUUUUUUAUUUCUUCCGUAAUUGAUCCGUUUUGUUGGUGUAAUGUUUUUUCUUCCAAAAUCCGUCUUUUUACCUCAUUCUCUGUUUUAAAUUUACCAGCCGUUCUUGAGGGAUUGAAAUUGCAAGUUAUAAGAAUUUCUCUUUUACUAAGAUAAUUUCGGCAUAUAAAUCAUUAUGAUAUCCUCUCAUUGUUGCAGUAUCUUUCAGUGUGUCUAACCACCAAACUAAAAAUAUCAUCAUAAUCAAUCCCCUUUUAUUGUGAAUAUCCCUUUACAACUAGGCGAGCCUCUUAUUUUUUUGUUAGUGCUGACUUUUUCUUGUACACCCACUUGCAACCAAUAACUCUAUUUUUAUGUGGCAGCUAAAAAUAUUCCAUGUCUCCCUUUUAAAGGACUUCCUCUCCUCUACCAUAGCACCCAUCCACUUAUCUUUCUCCUGACUAGUCAUAGCCUUUUGAAAAGUAGAAGGGUCUCCUAAACUGAUAAGAAGAGCAUAUGAUGUUAAGUCUUCAAACUCAUAUCUCACUGGAGGUGUAAUACGAUGAGACUCCUUAUCACACAGAAAUGUAUAAUCUUUUACUCCAUAUGAAUCUUGCAUUCCACCUGAUUUGAACCUGGUUCAUCCUGUGGGCUACAAUCUACCUUGGACUCACUAGUGGCUCCUUAAUGUCGACUUGAAUCUUGUCUUGACUGGAAUUUUCAUCUCAGUAUCUCGCAAAACUGUCACAUCUGUCUAUUUCAACAUCGAAUGUGUUAACCAAUGUUUUUGGUAAACAAUCACUUAGUUUUAAAUAAUUACUUGCAUGAUCAAACUAGAAAAUCCUAAGACAUUUUGAGCAUAAUUUCUGAAGAAAAAAGUUUCCAAGUGUCGUUGUGAGUUUAAAGUUAAGUGUUUUAUGAAGUAACAAGAAAAAAGUUCGAAAGUGAAAAGAAAUUAAAGGUUUCGGCUAUGUCGAAAUCCACUAUGGAAAAAAUUGAGAAAAGUAAUAAAGGACAAAAACAAAGUAAAUAAAAAAGUAAGAGUUAUUUCGAUUAAAUAAAUGAAAGUCGGUGUACAUAAUCAUAUAUAUUCCUCACAAACUCGUUUCUCGCUCUGACUUGGGUACUUUGAGUUCUAUAGAGAUUUUGUAAUGAUAUUGCUACCCGAUUUCUAAUGCUAGAACCCACUAUAUAUAAUAUAUAUAUAAUAUAUAUAUAUAUAUAUAUAUAUAUAUAUAAUAUAUAGAAAUAACCGCCUUUAAGAAGAGAUAUAUCUUCGGCGUUUGACAUAUAACUUGUGUAGCUUCCAAUCUUCUAACUUAUUCUCACAUGUCUUCGAUGUUUGGAUAAGAUCAAAAUUAGUUAUUCAAUCUUAUCCUUUUACUUAUCUCACUUGUCAUGGUCGAUGUUCAGCUUUUCGAGUUAUGAGGAGAAAUAUUCUUAUAAUUCUAGAAAACUGUUAAGCCUAAAAUCCAUGAUUAUAAUGUUGAACUGAAUAUUAAUGAUUGAACACUACUUCUGUCUCACGUAUAACCAUAUGUCCUCAUAUUUAAUUAGAUAUUGUUUCAGCAUCAUAGUUUCUUUGUCGAACUCACAUAUUGAGAAUUCUAUGCUAACAAAUUAUCCCUUAAUAAAGAUCAAUGGUCUAUUUAAAUAAAAUUUAGUGCAUUCUUUUGAUUAGCAUUUUAAUAAUUAAUUUAAUAAAUUGAUUAUAUUUAAAGAAAAUCAUUCAUACCCCUAAAACAUUAUUAUAAAAAUUAUUACUUAUGGAUUCAAUUAAUAUAUAUGAAAAAUCUAUUAUUCUUGAUACUAAGACAACUUGCUUCCAAGAUAAUAUAUUGUCCAUGUCAAUUAGGUAAUUCAAUAAAGGAUAAAUAUUGUUAAAUUCUUGAAAUUACCGUCUAUAAUUAAAUAUGAUGUAUCUGAUUUAAAAUUAUUUAUUAAUAAUUUCAUGCUCUGUUUUAAUUGGGGUCUUAAAAUAUGCAAAUUAAAGUUAUAUUAUUAAAAUAAAAUGAAUUUGAAAGAUUGUAAAAAUAAAUCUAUUAAUUAAAUUAUUUAUUAAAUUAUAUGAAAAUAAUGGGUGAUUAUUCAUCCUCAUAUUGUUAUAGAGAUAUACACCAAUAUUUUUCCAGAUGUUUUUUCUUAAUCAUCACAAAGUUAUUUAAAUAUAUUUAUAUUUCGAGUAUUUAUUUUUACCAAAAUAUUUUAUGUCUUAAUUAUUAUUCAUCAUAUUUACUCAUCUAUAUUAUUAAUAUUCUUUAUAUAUCCAUAUAUUACAUUCCUCCUUAAUAUUUCUAUUUUACAAGGUGAUACUUAUUCCUUAAACAUAAUUCUCUGUAUAUCAUAAGAAAACAUUAGUACCUUUUAAAUUAAAUAAUAUUAAUAUAAAUCAUUUUUUAAAUCUUAUAUAGCUAUAUAUAUAUAUAUAUAUAUAUAUAUAUAUAUAUUAUAUAUAUAUAUAUAUAUAUAUAUAUAUAUAUUAUAUAUAAUAUAUAAUAUAUAAUAUAAUAUAUAUAUAUAAUAUAUAUAAAAUAAUAUAUAUAUUAUAUAUAUAUAUAUAUAAAAAGAGAGGGAGGGGGAAACAAGUUAAAACCCUACUAAAUAAGAUAUCUACAACAAGGAUCCUUUCAAAAUUUAAAAAUCUAUUGUAAUGUUAGAUGUAGAUGAUCAAUUAAAGAAAUUUUCUGAUGAGUGAAUCUGAUAUAAGCAAGUUGUCCGCACAAGCGUUCUUUAUCUGAAGAUGUGAGAGGCAAUGAAUGCUUGGAAAAAGUGAGAUUUGUCAAUCAGCCAUUUGGUCUUUAAAUUAGAAGGACAAAGGAGAUUCAAAAUUAGCUGACGCUACAGCAAAACUAUAGAUUUGAGCAAAAAAUGAGUCCAAUUGUUCUUUGCAGAAGGUCCAUUGCCAUCUCGCACCAAUAAACUCAGCAUCAAUGGCAUUACCGGCUACAAUGAAAUUCGAGAAACUGCCAACAUAUUAACCUUUUGAAUUUCUAAUAAUUCCCUCGCACGCUCAAAGUUGGAGUACCCACUGCAUACCAUCUGAAUUCCAUUUAAUCCAACCUAAGGCGGAGGCUGCACAAAAAUCUCUGAUCAAGAGGGACACAAGGGACUAGGUGCAGAUAGGCUUUAAAAUGACGAAUUCACAACUAUCGGAGUGUGGCAAUAAGAGGAAAAGUUGUGAGAGAUAUGUUACAGAGAAUAAGUCCCUACAUGAUGACCAAUUUAUAUGGAUGUCUUGAAUUUGAUUUGAUUCGAGCAAACCAUAUUUUAUUGAUAAUUUGGAUAAUAGCUGUGUAAUGGCAUUAUUGUAGGCCUUGGACCAGUCCUAGUUCAUGAUGUACCACCAAUUCUGAAGAUAUUUAAUUGCUGGAAACCUGAAACAAUAGAAGAGAACCAAUUCCAAAUGCGCUUAGGCAAAGAUUCAUUUAAAAUAAUGUGAAUGUGUAGAUUCAUUUUAACUAUAACACAAGACUACAUACAGAGGGGAGGAAACAAGCUUGAGAAAAAAUAUCCUCGUCAAUAGCAAGCUUGUUAUGGAUACAACGCAAAAAUAAGAGAUUUGAAGGAGGUAAGUUAGUUUUAAACCUGCCUAUGCAGAGAUACCUUAGGUUCAUGCUUUGAAACAACACUUGUAAACAACUUGAGCGACAAGCAACCAGAGAUCUCAUGAGACCAGACUCUCACUACUACGAAAAAUACAUAUAAUUAUGGUUGACAAAGAUAUAAUCACGGAGACCAGCCGUUUUAGAAGUGGCGAGUGUUGUAUAUGUGUUAUUUACAAUCACGGCCUAGUGCCGUUGUAGAAAACUGGAAUGGCACGCUACUAAUCACCACAGUUGUGAUACGCAAAUGUUGUGAAAAGUUUAAGGGUCUUUGAUCGAUUCCAUAAACUCCCUUUUUAGGCAUUUAAGUUAUUUUGAUAGUGUUCAACAAUAUACCACAUGUUGGAUUUAUCACAUGUGGCGGAAAUUACUUGCUUUUUUAUAUAUAUUUUAUGCUUUUAUACAUUUUCCAUUUUUAACUUGUAUUUUUGUGAAUUAUAUAGACCAGAGAACAACAACAGCAUUUGUGAAUCAUAUUAUACCAAAAAUUGUAUUACAAUCAAAUCCAAAAAUUGUAAUAAUCAAAACUAAAAUGGCACAAAACAACCUAUAAUUUACACAUCAUUACAUCAAAUAAUUGUAUGUGGUGUUUUAGUUUUGUCUCUUAGUGUCUUGUUUCUUAGUGUCUUGACUUUAAAAACUAUAAUUUCAAAUAAUCAUAAUUGUUAGUAAAUAUAGAAUUAUAACUUAUAAUAAAAUAUAUAAAGAAUAAUAUACUUACUUUUUAAUUUUCUAUAGUCUUCUUUAUGAUCGUUACAAAUAACACGCACAUCAUCUCUAUCAACUUCAUCAUAUGAGGUAGGCACUUGUGUUGUGUAAGAAAGAAUGCAAGGGAUAUCAAAAAUUUCAUCACUACGAGUAAUGUAUUUCUUGGAGACGAUUGGCCAUUCUCCCGAUAUGUUGAAAGGUCAAUCACAUAGAAAAAUUGUUUUGCUUGAGAAGUCAUGAUGAAUGCUUUGAUCAUAUAAGAUUCCUUGCCAAAGUCAUGCGGGUGAAUAUAGGGCAUCAAUUAUACACCAUUAUUAUUUAGAAUCCACUUGUAUUUAAAUAAUAGGCUCUUGAAAAUAACAUAAUCAAUCUCAGAUAUCCUCAAUGACACAUAAAAUGCUCUAGAUGUCAAUAUAUGAUUCUUAUCUUUUGAACUAGAGAAUACAUAGAUUUGAUCUCAACUAUAACCCACUAUUUGCAUUGUACUACGACCGUUUUGAUUUUGUGUAAAAGGAAAAUGACAAUGUCCAAUGUAGUCUAUUUUAUCACAUUAAUUUUGGCAUGUACAACAUCAUUUAAUUUGUCUCGGAUACACUACAUCCUUAGAUAUUUAUUCAAUAAACCAAUUUAAUGAAUUUCUUGUUAUGCUCUAUUAACAAUAACUGUCACUCAUUAAGGGAUUUUUUCUUCGCAAGUGUUUGUGAGUAGUAUAGGUUUGAACUUCAUCAAGAUAUUCAAUAUAUAGAAAUGUGCUUGAAUACUAUAUCCCAAGCCAUUGACUUAACAUUUAAAAUCUGGGUAUCUACUUCAUAGCUGUCAGCAUGAGAGACUUGAACGUCUAUAGACCCGACUUAUGACAAACAGUUUGUACAAAACUCAACAACUCUUUGUGAUGAAAUUUUCAACAAUCGAGAGCUUCCGGUCAAUGAGUGAUUCUUCGUAUAUCCUUUAAAGAUCUUAUAUCGCUGCUAUUAGAUACAUCCACCUUACAUAAAGGACACAUAAACUAUUUCCUGACUAGAUGAACAAGUAAGUGAACCAUAAUGUCAAAAAUGAUGGAGGAAAAUCAUCUCUAAUUGGCACAAGAUUAACGUCAUCAUAUUCUAUUAUCUAUUUUUUUAAAUCAAGAACUUUAUUACAUAUAGCAUUUAAGAUAAGCAUAAUCUGGUUAUAGUUACUCUCACAUUUUUGGGUAGGAUGCCAUGGAUACCACUGGAUAAGUUGUUUGCAUCAAGACAUGACAUUAUUGAGAUUUUAAACCAUUAAUUAGAUAUUUCAUUGAUACAGUUUCUUGAUGUUUGAUGAGUAACCUGGGUAAAUUUGAUAUCAUGAAAAACUUCGUAAAAAAUUAUUUUUCCUUUUUAGAUAGAGUGUGAAUGUCGGAAGCAGAUAAGUUCUUUUUCUGAUUCUAUUGAAGCCAAUUGUUUUCGUAUACCCAUAGCCUCACACCGAGACGUAAAUUCUUNAUAUAUAUAUAUAUAUAUAUAUAUAUAUAUAUAUAGAAAUAACCGCCUUUAAGAAGAGAUAUAUCUUCGGCGUUUGACAUAUAACCCUUUGUGUAGCUUCCAAUCUUCUAACUUAUUCUCACAUGUCUUCGAUGUUUGGAUAAGAUCAAAAGUAGUUAUUCAAUCUUAUCCUUUUAUCUUAUCUCACUUGUCAUGGUCGAUGGUUCAGCUUUUCGAGUUAUGAGGAGAAAUAUUCUUAUAAUUCUAGAAAACUGUUAAGCCUAAAAUCCAUGAUUAUAAUGUUGAACUCGAUAUUAAUGAUUGAACACUACUCUUGUCUCACGUAUAACCAUAUGUCCUCAUAUUUAAUUAAGUAUUGUUUCAGCAUCAUAGUUUCUUUGUCGAACUCAACAUAUUGAGAAUUCUAUGCUAACAAAUUAUCCCUUAAUAAAGAUCAAUGGUCUAAUUUAAAUAAAAUUUAGUGCAUUCUUUUGAUUUAGCAUUUUAAUAAAUUAAUUUUAUAAAUUGAUUAUAUUUAAAGAAAAUCAUUCAUACCCCUAAACAUUAUUAUAAUAAAUUAUUACUUAUUGGAUUCAAUUAAUAUAUAUGAAAAAUCUAUUAUUCUUGAAUACUAAGACAACUUGCUUCCAAGAUAAUAUAUUGUCCAUGUCAAUUAGGUAAUUCAAUAAAUAGGAUAAAUAUUGUUAAAUUCUUGAAAUUACCGUCUAUAAUUAAAUAUGAUGUAUCUGAUUUAAAUUAUUUAUUAAUAAUUUCAUGCUCUGUUUUAAUUUGGUCUUAAAAUAUGCAAAUUAAAGUUAUAUUUAUUAAAAUAUAAAUGAUAAAUUUGAAAGAUUGAUAAAAAAUAAAUCUAUUAAAUUUAUAAAUUACUUAUUUAAAUAUAUGAAAAAUACUAUGGGUGAUUAUUCAUCCUCAAUAUUGUUAUAAGGAUAUACACCAAUAUUUUUUUCCAGAUGUUUUUUCUUCUAAUUCAUCACAAAAGUUAUUUAAAAUAAUAUUUAUAUUUCGAGUAUUUUAUUUUUACCAAAAUAUUUUUAUGUCUUAAUAUUAUUCAUCAUAUUUACUCAUCUAUAUUAUAUAUAUUCUUUAUAUAUCCAUAUAUUACAUUUCUCUUUGAAUAUCUCUAUUUUUACAAGGUGAUACUUAUUCCAAUUAACAUAAUUUCUCUGUAUAUCAUAAGAAAACAUUAGUACCUUUUAAAUUAAAUUAAUAUUUAUAUUAUAAAUCAUUUUUUUUAAAUCUUUAUAGCUUAUAUAUAUAUAUAUAUAUAUAUAUAUAUAUAUAUANNNNNNNNNNNNNNNNNNNNNNNNNNNNNNNNNNNNNNNNNNNNNNNNNNNNNNNNNNNNNNNNNNNNNNNNNNNNNNNNNNNNNNNNNNNNNNNNNNNNNNNNNNNNNNNNNNNNNNNNNNNNNNNNNNNNNNNNNNNNNNNNNNNNNNNNNNNNNNNNNNNNNNNNNNNNNNNNNNNNNNNNNNNNNNNNNNNNNNNNNNNNNNNNNNNNNNNNNNNNNNNNNNNNNNNNNNNNNNNNNNNNNNNNNNNNNNNNNNNNNNNNNNNNNNNNNNNNNNNNNNNNNNNNNNNNNNNNNNNNNNNNNNNNNNNNNNNNNNNNNNNNNNNNNNNNNNNNNNNNNNNNNNNNNNNNNNNNNNNNNNNNNNNNNNNNNNNNNNNNNNNNNNNNNNNNNNNNNNNNNNNNNNNNNNNNNNNNNNNNNNNNNNNNNNNNNNNNNNNNNNNNNNNNNNNNNNNNNNNNNNNNNNNNNNNNNNNNNNNNNNNNNNNNNNNNNNNNNNNNNNNNNNNNNNNNNNNNNNNNNNNNNNNNNNNNNNNNNNNNNNNNNNNNNNNNNNNNNNNNNNNNNNNNNNNNNNNNNNNNNNNNNNNNNNNNNNNNNNNNNNNNNNNNNNNNNNNNNNNNNNNNNNNNNNNNNNNNNNNNNNNNNNNNNNNNNNNNNNNNNNNNNNNNNNNNNNNNNNNNNNNNNNNNNNNNNNNNNNNNNNNNNNNNNNNNNNNNNNNNNNNNNNNNNNNNNNNNNNNNNNNNNNNNNNNNNNNNNNNNNNNNNNNNNNNNNNNNNNNNNNNNNNUAUAUAUAUAUAUAUAAAAAGAGAGGGAGGGGGAAACAAGUUAAAACCCCUACUAAAUAAGAUAUCUACAACAAGGCAUUCCUUUCAAAUUUCUCAAAAAAUCUAUUGUAAUGUUAGCAUGUAGAUGAUCAAAUUAAAGAAAUUUCUAUGAGUGAAUCUGAUAUAAGCAAGUUUGUCCGCACAAGCGUUUCUUUAUCUGAAGAUGUGAGAGGCAAUGAAGUGCUUGGAAAAAGUGAGAUUUGUUCAAUCAAGCCAUUUGGUCUUUAAAUUAGAAGGGACAAAGGAAUGAUCAAAAAUAGCUUACGCUACAAGCAAACUAUCAGAUUUGAGCAAAAAAUGAGUCCAAUUGUUCUUUGCAGCAAGGUCCAUUGCCAUCAUCGCACCAAUAAACUCAGCAUCAAUGGCAUUACCGCUACCAAUGAAAUUCGAGAAACUGCCAACAUAUUAACCCUUUGAAUUUCUAAUAAUUCCCUCGCACGCUACAAAAGUUGGAGUACCCACUGGCAUACCAUCUGAAUUCCAUUUAAUCCAACCUAAUGGCGGAGGCUGCCACAAAAUAUCCUUGAUGCAAGAGGGAACAAAGGGACUAAGGUGCAGAUAUAGGCCUUUAAAAUGACGAAUUCACACAUAUCGGAGUUGGCAAUAAGAGGAAAAGUUGUGAGAGAUAUGUUACAGAGAAUAAAGUCCCUACAUGAUGACCAAUUUAUAUGGAUGUCCUUGAAUUUGAUUUGAUUUCGAGCAAACCAUAUUUUAUUGAUAAUUUGGAUAAUAGCUGGUGAUAUGGCAUUAUUGUAGGCCUUGGACCAGUCCUAGUUCAUGAUGUACCACCAAUUCUGAAGAUAUUUAAUUGCUGGAAAACCUGAAACAAUAGAAGAGAACCAAUUCCAAAUGCGCUUAGCAAAGAUUCAUUUAAAAAUAAUGUGAUGUGUAGAUUCAUUUUAACUAUAACACAGACUACAUACAGAGGGGAGGAAACAAGCUUGAGAAAAAAUAUCCUCGUCAAUAGCAAGCUUGUUAUGGAUACAACGCCAAAAAAUAAGAGAUUUGGAAGGAGGUAAGUUUUAGUUUAAACCCUGCCUAUGGCAAGAUACCUUAGGUUCAUGCUUUGAAACAAACUUGUAAACAACUUUGAGCGACAAGCAACCAGAGAUCUCAUGAGACCAGACUCUCACUACUACGAAAAAUACAUAUAAUUAUGGUUGACAAAGAUAUAUAAUCACGGAGGACCAGCCGUUUUAAAGUGGCGAGUGGUUGUAUAUGUGUUAUUUACAAUCACGGCCUAGUGCCCGUUGUAGAAAACUGGAAUGCACGCUACCUAUCACCACAGUUGUGAUACGCAAAUGUUGUGAAAAGUUUAAAGGUCUUUGAUUCGAUUUCCAUAAACUCCCUUUUUAGGAUUUAAGUUAUUUUGGAUAGUGUUCAACAUAUAACCACUGUUGGAUUUAUCAACUGUGGCGAAAUUACUUGCUUUUUUAUAUAUAUUUAUGCUUUUUAUACAUUUUUCCAUUUUUUAACUUGUAUUUUUGUGAAUUAUAUCAGACCAGAAACAACAACACGCAUUUGUGAAUCAUAUUAUACCAAAAAUUGUAUUACAUCAAAUCCAAAAAUUGUAUAUUACAUCAAAACUAAAAUGGCACAAAACAACCUAUAAUUUACACAUCAUUACAUCAAAUAAUUGUAUGUUGGUGUUUUAGUUUCUUGUCUCUUAGUGUCUUGUCUCUUAGUGUCUUGACUUUAAAAACUAUAAUUUCAAAUAAUCAUAAUUGUUAGUAAAUAUAGAAAUUAUAACUUAUAAUAAAAUAUGAAUAAAGAAUAAUAUACUUACUUUUUAAUUUUCUCAUAUGUCUUCUUUAUGAUCGUUACAAAUAACACGCACAUCAUCUCUAUCAACUUCAUCAUAUGAGGUAGGCACUUGUGUUGUGUAAGAAAGAAUGGAAGGGAUAUCAAAAAUUUCAUCACUACGAGUAAUGUAUUUUCCUUGGAGAACGAUUGGCCAUCUCCCCGAUAUGUUUGAAUGGUCAAUCACAUAGAAAAAUUGUUUUGCUUGAGAAGUCAUGAUGAAUGCUUUGAUCAUAUAAGAUUCCUUGCCAAAGUCAAUGCGGGUGAAUAUGAGGUCAUCAAUUUAUACACCAUUAUUAUUUAGAAUCCACUUGUAUUUAAAUAAAGGCUCUUUGAAAAUAACAUAAUCAAUCUCCCAGAUAUCCUCAAUGACACCAUAAAAUGCUCUAGAUGUCAAUAUAUGAUUCUUAUCUUUUGAACUAGAGAAAUACAUAGAUUUGAUCUCAACUAUAACCCCACUAUUUUGCAUUGUACUACGACCGUUUUUUGAUUUUGUGUAAAAGGAAAAAUGACCAAUGUCCAAUGUAGUCUAAGUUAUCACAUUAAAUUUUGGCAUGUACAACAAUCAUUUAAUUGUCUCGGAUACACUAUCAUCCUUAGAUAUUUAUUCAAUAAACCAAUUUAUGAAUUUCUUGUUAUGCUCUAUUAACAAUAACUUGUCACUCAUUAAGGGAUUUUUUUCUUCGCAAGUGUUUUGUGAGUAGCUAUGUAAGGUUGAACUUCAUCAAGAUUAUUCAAUAUAUAGAAAUGUGCUUGAAUAACUAUAUCCCAAGCCAUUGACUUAACAUUUAAACCUUGGUACUUCUACCUUCAUAGCUGUCAGCAUGACGAGACUUUGGAACUCCUAUAGACCCGACUUAUGACAAACAGUUUGUACAAAACUCAACAACUUCUUGUGUGAUGAACAUUUCAACAAUCGAAGCUUCCGGUCAAUGAUGAUUCUUCGUAUAUCCUUUAAAGAUCUUAUAUCGCUCUAUUAGAUACAUCCACCUUACAUAAAUUGGACCACAUAAACUAUUUUCUCUGACUAGAUGAACAAGUAAGUGAACCAUAAUGUCAAAAAAUGAUGGAGGAAAAUACAUCUCUAAUUGGCACAAGAUUAUGACAGUCUCAUAUUCUAAUUAAUCUAUUUUUUUAAAAUCAAGAACUUUAUUACAUAUAGCAUUUAAGAAUAAGCAUAAUCUGGUUAUAGUUACUCUCACAUUUUUGGGUAGGAUGCCAUGGAUACCACUGGUAUAAGUUGUUGCAUCAAGACAUGACAAUUAUGAGAUUUUAAACCAAUUAACUUGAGAUAUUUCAUUGAUACAAGUUUCUUGAUGUUUGAUGAGUAACCUUGGGUAAAUUUGAUAUCAUGAAAACAUUCGUAAAAAAAUUAUUUUCCUUUUUAGAUAGAGUGUGACAUGUCGGAAGCAGAUAAGUUCUUUUUCCUGAUUCUAUUGAAGCCAAUUGUUUUCGUAUACCCAUAGCCUCCACACCGAGACGUAAAUUCUUAUUAUCUUUAGUCUUGCCUGGAAUGUUUAGAAGUAUUCCAAUCAAACUAUCGCACACAUUUUUCUCCACAUGCAUCACAUCAAGAAAAUGUCUUACAUCGAGACUUGACCAAUAUGGAAGAUCAAAGAACACAUACCUCUUUUUCCAUAUAUUUUUCUCAACUGACCCCUUUUCUUUUUCUCUCUUUCCAAAGACAAUAUUAAUUUGUUUUUAUCAUUGAUAAACUUCAUCCAUAGUUAAAGUUUUAGGAACCAUAUCAAACUCCCGCUCUCUAUUAAAAGUUUUCCUCAAUCUACGAUAAGGUUGACCAAGUUUUAUAAAAAAUUUAUGCCCAAGGUAAACGGUCUUUUUCCAAACUAAAGUUUGUGAUAACAGGUAUUAGAUUCACAUAUAGGACACACUUUAUGUAUUUUGACACUAUAUCUAUCCAAAUUACCAUAUGUAGGAAAGUCGUUGAUUGUGCAAAAUAAUAUUUUACGCAUCGCAAAAUAAUAUUGCACGCAUCUUAAAAUUUUCACCAAAAUAUGCAUCAUCAACUUUAACGCCUUCCUCCCACAGAAGUUUUAAAUCUUCAACUAAUGGACUUAGAUAAACAUCUAUGUCGUUUCUAGGUUGUUGUGGUCGAUAAAUCAUCAUACUUAACAAUAUAUAUUUGGGCUUCAUGCACAAACAAGUAGAUAGGUUGUAAAUCGUGAGAAGAAUAAACUACGAAGAAUGGUUAAUACUCAGAUUACCAAAGGGGUUCAUUCAAUCGGUGGCAAGCCUAAGCCUAAGGUUUCUUGGCUCAAUGCCAAAAUCUGGAAACAACGAAUCAAUUUUCUUUUAUUGUAAAGAAUAAGCUACAUGACGAAUGUUUCCAUCACAUUUUCUUUCAGCUUUCAUCCAACUACGAUCCAUAAUAAAUUCUGAAACUUAUAUCAAAAGAAUAAUAUGAAUGGCGCACAAAAACCUAAACCUAAAGCAUAUCUAAACCUAAAGCAUAUAUAAACCUAAUGCAUAUUCAUAAUAAUAAUAAUAAUAUAACACUAAACCUAAAGCAUAUGCAUAUCCAUCACAACAAUAUAAUAUUUAACAACAAAAAAUGCAACGAACUAUGAACCAUGAGCAAUAUGAACACAAGGUUUCAAAAACGCAAUGAACUAUAAAUCAUGAAUCAUGUACACAAAAAAUAAAAUGAUAAAAUCAACAAAAAGGGAAUAAAAGCAAUGAACAUUAGUCAUGAAAAGUAACGUAUUCUACUUCAAAGAGGAGGAAGAGACCAAAAAAUGAAUGAAGAUGGUGAACAAAAAAUAAAGAUGGUGAAAAUUUUCGUUCCAAAUGAAUGAAGAUGGAUAUUUCUCUACUACCAUCAUCUCGUUCGCUUAGGGCAUGUUAUAAAGGAAAUAAAGAAUCUAUUUUGUUUUAAUUUGACAGGAAGGCAUUUCACCAUGGUUGAUAAGAACAACCAAAGUGAAAUACAAAACAUGUUACUAUGGUGGAUAAAUAGAACCGUAGUUUAAUAUUUUUUUAAUUUUUGUUUAACUUAUGAAUUAAGGGACACACAUUUUUUUAAUAGGAAAAAAAUGGAAAAAUAUUGUUGCUGGAGCUCGAAGCUUGUAACACUUAAUUUAUCACCAGAGUUGUUUCACACAACCGUAAUAAAAUGUAAAUAAAGCAAAAAACAGACGCUUCUAAUUUGAGAUAUUACAACGGUGGACCGAAUGAUCGUAGUAAUAUAAUGUUGCCAAAAUUAUAUUUUGUAGUAAUGGCUGAUGUCUUCAGAAUCUAUCUGAGGGAUAUGAUAAGAGAAAAUGAUGUGAAGAAUAUAUAUAUAUAUAUAUAUAUAUAUAACGAGUCGCGAGGGAUAUGAUAAGAGAAAAUGAUGUGAAGAAUAUAUAUAUAUAAUAUAUAUAUAACAAGCCAAACUAUACAUAGUUAAAGUUCAGAUUAUUUAGUUGAUUAACUUAAUUUUUCUUGCUUAUAUUCAAAUCAUUUAAUUUAUAAAUCAAAUUCAACAAUUUAAUUGUCGAAUCAAGUUUCAAACUAUGUUCGAUUUGUUUCGGUUCAUUGUCAGACCUAUUGAUCAUGAAUGACAAUAUUGAUUCAAUCCAUAUUUAUGGUUAUACUUUAUGAACCAAAACAUUUAUCAUAAUUAUCGGUUUCCGAGUUAUAAUUACUUUCAAACCACUUUCAAAUCGGACAUAAUUUAAUUUUAAUUUUAAAUCGAUUUUUAAGUGGAAUGAUUACAAAAUCUAUGACACCAAAAUGAAUAUACAUCGAGAAAUUAGAAACAUCACCAUUUUUCAAAAACAAAAUAAACCCCUUGAAAUUAUUCUUAAAAUAAUUCAACAAUCCCAAAUUAAUUUAUAAAUGAAAUACUUGUAAAAAAUGAAGACAACGGUGAGAACAAGAAGAAAGUUUUCCAUUAAAAUAAAGGAGAUAUUGAGAUUAAUAUUAUAAUUGUGAUUAAAUGAAAAUUUGAAAAAUGUUUGCACUACGAUUAAACAUUUUCACUUUCCACUUAAUAAUUAAUUAUUUGAAAUGAAUCAUCACAUUAUUGAAUCAUCAUUUUAUAUAUAUACCGAAUCAGUUUUAUUUUAAGUAUAUAGACGAAGUGAUAAUAAUUAUUAGAAUUUCACACACACAAUCGUGAGUACGAAGGUUCAAAUUUUGAUCAUAAUGUCUAACCUAUCAAUAUCAAUUUCUAUCGAUUGAGUCAAAAUUUGCGGACAUAUUCCUAUAUCACUUAAUAUUAAUGAUUUGAAAUGAAUUAUCACCUUUUUUAAUCAUCACUUUAUUUAUGAGUAUAUAUAUGAGACAAAUAAAUUUGAGUAUUCAAUAGGCAAACUAAACUAUUUUUAUGGUGUCAAUUCAUUAUUUGAAUCAUAAAUUAGCCAUGAAUGUUAGAUUUUAGCAUUUGAGUUGAAUUUUAAAAAGUGGAACAAUUUUGUUAUCAAUUGGUUACGAGGAACUAGUUUUUUUUGCACACCCACCAUUUAUCAAUUUGGUUAAGAGUCUAUCGAUCACCGUCCAUCAUUUAUAUUUAUGCAUCAAAGCCUAAUAGAGUGUUGGGUGUGAUGAAGUCAGGACUAGUCCAAUCAUUUUGGAGGUCCCGUUCUAAUUUCAAAAAUGGGCCAAAUUUAAAAAAAAAUACAAUUAUAAUAAUUUAAAAAAAUAUAUCAAAAAUACAAUUAUAUAUUAAUCAAAAAUUAAUUUAAUUAUAAUUAUUUUGAGUUUUGAUCCAUCUUGAUUUUUGUAUGUAUUGAGUUUUUAUCAUAAUAUUUUUUUUAAUUAUUGAGUUUUUUUAUAACAUUUUAUUUAUUUUUGAUAAUAUUUAUAAAAAAAAUAUUUCAAAAUUUGGGGCCCUGUGCUGCAGCACUUGCACAAGGUCGACCGUGAUGGAGUGUAUUGAAAUUAUCUCAAGUCUCACGUUGAUUAAAGAUAGAGCUUGAAAUUAUUUUAUAUAAAAUGAUAUCUCUCACCCUACUAGUCGAUUUUUUAGGAAUGAGUUAGGUUAAUCUCUAAUACUAAUACAAAUCUUUGAGGCGGUUGAUGUUAUAUUUUAAUUAUGCAUUAUCCAAUCUUCGUUCAUGUCCUUUUUAAACGUGAAUUCCUUUAAAACUAACAAUUUCUCACUUCGAAUCCAACUUACUCUAUUAUCUUCAAAUUAUCAUCUCAUCUUAUUUAAAAAGUUCCUUCAAAUCUUUGAAUUUUGAGUGUAGUAUGUUGUAUAAAAAAUGGUUUAAAGAACAAUAACCUCCGCCGAUAGAGUUUUGAUGAUAAUAAAAUAAUUAAGAAUAAUUGGUACUCUAUUGUAUGUUUUCAUAUGUAAAACAAUUUUUAAUCAUCUCUAGGAAAAAGGUCAUGACCAUUUGUGUCAAGUCAAAGAAUGAUUAUUUGCCCCUACGUAAAGAGAGUGAUCACAUGUAUGCAAGUCAAUAAGGCUGACCAUCUAUACCUCAAAGAAACAUGUAUGGUUCUAUGUUUAAACAAAAUUUUGAUGAUUGAUUAAACAAAAUUAAUCAUUAUGAACAUUAUCAAAAACUGAAAUUGAAUAAAAAUGCGUGAAAUAAAAUUUCUGGUGAUUGACUCAACAAAGAUCAAAUACUAUGAACAUCAUAAAAGAAUAGACUUGAAUCAUAAAGAACAUCUUUGAUCCAAAUCUUAUGUAUUUUUACUUUAUUUAUGAACAUAUUGUAAUAUAGUGUGUAGUUAUUGUAGUGCUAAACUAUACACACACUCACAAAAAUUAUUUUCAAAGUUCAUAUUUUUUAAACUCUUCUGAAGAACUCUUUGAAAAGUCAAAAAUAUUUUUAACUAAAGAAUAGUUGAUUAUGAAGAGUUUUUUCCUUCAAAUCGACUAUGAUUGUGGUAUAAUCGAUUAUGACACAUGUCUUCCUGAUUAAUCGAUUAUGAAUUAAGCAUAAUAGGCUAUGAAUUAAUCGAUUUUGAGUGGAAAUCAGGUUGCCUCUGCGCGCAAUUGCUGAGACUAAUCCCUCGAGGCGGGUAAGACCAUAAUGGGUGGCAAAUAUCUCCCUCAGGAGAAUUUAACACUGUUAUGUAUUCAGGGUUGAGUUCGAACCCAUGACCUCUCGUUAAGCUGGAAGAGAUCCCUUACCAUCUCAUUCAAGUGCUCUUGGGUCACAUAUAUUUUUUUAGUGUUGAGAGAGAAACCCCUGUAUAGAAUAUUCUUUAAUUGUUUUCCAUUCUAAUUAUAUUGUAAAACCAAUAGUAAAUAUUUUAUCUUUAAUAUUAUACGAUAUAAAGGUUGCAACUUGAACAUGUGAUAAAAACUUGUUGUAAAUGGGUGUAAGUUAAACCCAUGAAAAAAUUCGAUGUAAAGGUUGUAAGUUGAACUUAAGCUUGAUUGUUAUUAGAAAAUAUCAAGAUAAUAUCUUUGGGGACUGGACUAGGCCUCACAGUUUUAGACUGAACUAGAAUAAAUUUGGUAUGUGCUUUCCUUCAUCUCUAUACUUUUUAUUCACUUAACUUUGUAUUUGUUAUCUUCUUUUUCUUAUACAUUUUUAUUAAAAGUUAUCUUAAAAAAUUAUUUUAAUCUUUAUGCUUUCAAUUUUAAAAAAAAAAUCACACUUCACCUAGUUUUUUGUAUUUGGAUUCAUUAUGUGCACAACAUGAUCAUUUAUAUUCUAAAGAACAUGAUCAUUUGUACUCAACGCUAAGUGACCACAUGUGCCUAAAUGACGAAAGACCUUAUAUGUUAAAUCAUCAUUCAUUCAUUUAAGUUGCAUAAAAUGUUCUCUGAACGAUCACAUCAUGACACAUGUGUUAGUAUAACGAAUGAAAGGAUAUGACCCGUAUGGAUAAUAAAGUUUAGCGACCACACCAUGACACAUAUACCAGUACAAGGAAUGAAAGGAUGGCCCGCACAAAUAAUAAAAUUUUAACGACCACAUUCCCAACAAACAAAUGAUUGUAAAUGACAAAUGAUCAACAAAUCAAAUAUUCAAGGGUUAUAUAAAGGAAUUAAAUUCAAAUGUUGAAGGUGAUCAAACUAUAUUAUCAAACAAGAACUUGAACAUUUGAAUUUUUCGUAACCUUUGCAUUUCUUGUAAUAUUAUAAAAUAACACACACUUAGACAUAAUUCUAUCCAUUCCAUAUUUUUUAUAUAAAUUAUACUCUUGAAUUAAGCUUUAUUGAAUUUACCAGUUUGUUUGAGUAUGUAAAUAAUAUUUUCUUUUAUUCUACUUUAAUCUCCUUCAAUUUUUUGUUCUUUAACCAUGUUUGAAUACGUUCACAAGAGAAAUGCCGAUUUAACUUUUUCAGCAGUCACGUCUCCGAUAAAAAUUCGACUUUGGAAUAUAGAUUCCUUUGAACGUCUUAAUCGGAUGUUGAACCGUUGGUUAAAAGGAGAAAUUACAGAUGGUGAAAAGAUUAGAAGGAUUCAAUGGCUUGAGUCCACGUUUAACCAAAAUGGAGAAGUGCGUGAAUGAGUGGAUAUUAAAACUGACAGAGACAUUCGCAUGAUGAUGCAUAGUAUGUUCAAAAUUGUUUUAAUGGUUGUAAUCGCUUAGUUAUAGUAAUGAUAUUUUAAUUGUUGUAGUUGUUUGUGUUGUUGUUUAUGUGUUGCUUGUGUGUUGAAUGUGUUAUAUUUGUUUGUGUUGGUAUUUCCUCACGAAGUUAUCAUAUGAAAUAAAUUUUGUUUUUUAUCUAUUGCAAAAGAGGUACAUGUAAAAUUAUCUUGUUGUGCUCGUUCCAACACUAGGAAGUUAGUACGAUUGUGACCUGGAUGACGACAUAAACUACAUAAUCGAACCAUUUUGUUCAUCGUAUCCAUUUUGGUUUGAAUACAGGUGCUGUUUGGGCGCCCCUUUUUCUUUCUUCGUAUGACUUCAUUGUGUCAGAGAAUGUCCCAUUGAUAUUCUGGCUAGUAAUCCUCUUUUGCAACAACUGAAAAACUAAUUUUGUAAACAUUAGAUAUGCUUAUGACUUUGUAAACAUCAGAUAGCAAGUAGGAUGAAUCCCUUUGAACUUUUGAACAUUUCGCAAUGACAUGGGAGCAUGGCGUACGAAAUGCUUGGAACUUCCCACCGUCGCACCAACCUCUAUCUAUUUCCACUCUGUAUUGUCCCAUCGGCAUGCCUUCAUUGUGAUCCAUGAAUUCAACAAUAUUGUACCAACCUUUAGUACGGUCAAACAUCGUGACCACGUCUGUGUUUGCUUUGGAAGCUUCGUGUCUAAUGAAUUUCAUUGAAGCAUCACUGAACAACUGCUCAGAUUGCAACGAACUCCAUUUGGAAUAUCUGGUCUCAAACAACGCCCCUAGCCUGAAAUAUGUUGCCUGCACUAAAGUGGUUAUAGGUAGAUUUCAGAUGCAUUUGAAGACAGAGUUCAUUGAUUCCAUAAAAUUUGUUGUCAUGUGGCCCUAACGUUGACCGCUGUCGUAUGCCUUAGUCCACUUCUCCAAAUGAUGACACAUCUAUCAAAUACCGCUGGACCUUCCACCGAACUUUCACACCAGCCACCAUUGGAUCAUGUCAGCACUCAAAGACCCCAAACACCUCAGAAAAAUCGUGGGCGUACUCGAAGACAGACUAACACACCUGGAUAUGGAACAGGGGGGGCGUUUCAAUCGGACUGGUCAUUGAGUUUCUUGUUAAUUCCGUGUAAUUUUUUAUUUUUAUAUAUAUAAUUUUUAUUUUCAGCAUUUUUUUUAUUUUUAAUAUUAACAUUUAAAUUUUAAAAAAAAACUAAUCAAGUGCAUGCGCCACAUGCACUAAAACACACACUAUGUAGCGUGUGCAUGCGCCAAUGCAUGUGGCGUCUAGGUUGUCCACCAUUGGAAGCAUGCGCCAAAGAUACUGACAUCUCCUUUAAAACUUUGGCGCAUCAGUUAUAAAAUAUGAUUAUUUUAAUUUAUUUAUUUUUUUAAAGUUAUUUAGGCAUUUAAUUUGAAAUUUAUGAUUAUUUUUUUUAAAAAAAUCUCCAUCUCUAUUCUCUUUGCAUUCUAACACUCUAUUCUUUUCAUUGUAUUAAUUGAAAAAAAAACUUUUUAAAAUAUAAAAUAAUUCAAUGAUAUUUCUUAUAUCUUUUCGACUAUAAAUGAGGGAUUUUUUUUUAAAAAUAACCAUGUUUUUGAAAUAAAAUACGAUAAUAACCAAGAUUUCAAAAAAUUUCCCAAAAUAACCAUGUUUUUUAAGGGAUGCGCCGGAGGAGUUGGCGCAUCCCUUAAAAAUUUUAGGGAGCCUUAAGGCAGGCGCCCAUGGGGUAGGCGCCCCAAUUGAACCCCCCAUAAGGGAGGCGCCCCUAGGGUUGGCACCUUAGCGUCCCACUAAGGGAGGCGCCCUUAGGGUUGGCGCAUGUGUGUGUUUGCCCUAGGGUUGGCGCCUGUGUGUGUUUUUUUUAGGUGCCCCUUCUGUGUGUCUUUUUUAGGUGCCCCUUCUGUGUGUCUUGUGUGUCUGUUGUCGGAUUUAUCGCCUCUAUAAAUACGAUCACCUUGUAUACAAAUUUUCAGUCAAAUUCAUCUCUCAGUCUAUAUUUUCACUCAAACUCAUCUUCUAGUCUAGUGCAACCACCAUUUUUAAUUUUCUUUGUUUUAACAAUGUCUAGAUAUAUUCAAAAACGAAAUGCUGAUGUAAUAUUUUCUGCCGUUGCGGCUCCGAUACAGGUUCGACUUUGGAACACAGAUACGUUUGAACGUCUUAAUCGGACGUUGUAUAGUUGGUUAGAGGAAGAAAUUGGAGAGGGUGAACGGAUUAGAAGAAUACAAUGGCUUGUGUCCACGUUCAACCAAAGCGGAGAAGUGCGUGAAUGGGUGGAUAUUAAGACCGACCAAGACGCUCGUAGGAUGAUGCAGUACAUGUUCAAAAUUGUUUUGAUGGUUGUAAUCGCAUAGUUUUUGUAUUCUAGUUGUUUUAAUUGUUUGUGUUAUUUUUUAUGAACAACUGUCUUUUCGUCACAGCCGUCUACUAUGAAGUAAAAUUAAUUUUCCAUAUAUUGCAACAGAGGUACUUUGAAAUAAAUUUAAGUUUCCAUAUAUAGCAAUAGACGUACAUCUGAAUUUAUCUGGUUGUGCUCGUUCUAACCCUAGGACAGUUAUUACGAUUGUGACCUGGUUGACGGCAUGAACUACAUAGUCUAACCAUUUUGUUCGCCAUAUCCAUUUCGGUUCGAAUUCGGGUGUUGUUAGGGCGACCCUUUUUCUUCCUUCGCAUAACUUUGUUGUGCCAGAUGAUGUCCCCUUGAUAUUCUGGCCAAUAAUCCUCUUUUGCCACUACUGAAAAACUAAUUUUAUAAACAUUUGAAAGGAUGGCGACUUUGUAAACUUCAGAUAGCAAGUAGGAUGGAUCUCUUCGAACCUUUGAGCACGUCGCUAUGACAUGGGAGUAGGGGGUACGGAAGGCUUGGAACCUUCCGUAGUCGCACCAACCUCUAUCUAAUUCAACUCUGUACUGUCCCAUUGGCAUGCCCUCAUUGUGAUCCAUGGACUCGGCAACACUAAACCAACCUUUUGUUCGGUCAAAUACCGUAACCACGUGUGUGUUAAGACCGGCGGGUCAAGUUUUUGAGUGUGUACGGAGACCCAACAUUAGUAAUCAGUCAGAUCAAAGGAGAAUGGGACACUAAGCAUCCGAAUCUCAUCCCUUAUCGAGAGCGGGUGUUGACAUUAAUCCCAUACUUUGAAGAGAUUACAUUCGAACAUAUUCCACGAGAAGAGAAUCAGUUGGCAGACGCAAUGGCUACCAUGCCAUCUAUGUUCAGAGUCAGAUGGGACAAUGAAGCUCCCAUGAUCACCAUUGAACGGUUAGAUGAACCAGUGUAUUGUUAUGAACUUAACGCUGAUGGAGUAGAGGAGAAACCUUGGUUCCACGAAGUAAAAAGAUAUUUGGAAACUCAAGAAUACACUGAAGAGGCAUCCAUCAAUGACAAAAAAUUCCUGAGGAGGUUCUCCGCUAAAUUCUUUUUGAGUAAUUGAUUAUUAUACAAACGUAAUCAUGAUUCGACUUUGCUUCGCUGUGUGGAUAAAAAGGAAGCAGAAAAGAUUAUGGAAGACAUGCAUGAUGGUAUUUUUGGGACUCAUUCUAGUGGACAUACGAUGGCCAAAAAGAUUCUGAGAUCAGGGUAUUAUUGGUCUACCAUGGAAGCUGAUUGCCACCAUCACUCCAGAACCUGUCACAAGUGCCAGAUAUAUGCGGAUAAAGUACAUGCACCUCCUGCUCCAUUGAACGUGUUGACCGCACCUUGGCCCUUUGCAAUGUGGGGCAUUGAUAUGAUUGGGGAGAUUAAACCUACUGCUUCUAAUGGACAUCGCUUCAUCCUUGUCGCUAUUGAUUACUUUACAAAGUGGGUAGAGGCCGCCUCAUUUGCUUCUGUCACCAAGAAUGUGGUGGCACGGUUCAUCAAGAAUAGUCUUAUUUGUCGGUAUGGUAUCCCUGAAAGGAUUAUCACCGACAAUGGUACUAAUUUGAACAACAAGAUGAUUACUGAACUCUGCACGCAGUUCAACGUAAAGCACCAUAACUCUUCUCCGUACCGACCAAAGAUGAAUGGCGCUGUAGAAGCUGCUAAUAAGAAUAUCAAGAAGAUCAUACAAAAGAUGACGGUGACGUACAAAGACUGGCAUGAGAUGUUACCGUUUGCUCUUCACNNNNNNNNNNNNNNNNNNNNNNNNNNNNNNNNNNNNNNNNNNNNNNNNNNNNNNNNNNNNNNNNNNNNNNNNNNNNNNNNNNNNNNNNNNNNNNNNNNNNGUCGGAGAUUUAGUGUUGAAAAGGAUCCUUCCUCCUCAGACAGAUCACAGGGGCAAGUGGACUCCUAACUAUGAUGGACCGUAUAUUGUCACCAAGGUUUUUGAUGGUGGGGCCUUAAUGCUUGCAACUAUGGAUGGUGAAAACUUCACUUCCCCUGUGAACUCAGACGCAGUUAAAAAAUACUUCGCAUAAAAUAGACCCGCUGGACAGUAAAAAGAGUAGUCCAGGCAAAAAUGGGCAUCCCGGCGAACCAAGAAAAUGAAAAGGUUCGGGCAAAAAUUAGGGACUAAAAAUGAAAAGAUUGUACACCCAGUAAGUUGAAAACCUGAAAAGGCAACUUAGGCAAAAAUGGGUAUCCCGAUGGAUUGAAAACCCGAAAAGGGCGAUCCAGGAAAAAGUUAGGGAUUAAGCGAAUGACUGCGUUCUGAGUAGUUCUGAAUCUCAUCCCAUGUCGAUAACUGGAAACUUCGAAAGGUAGGAAACAAUCCAAUCACCUUUUUCAGAAGGUUGAUCAUCUGGAGGAUCUUGAAGACGAGCGAGUCAUAGCAGAAUUGGAACCCAAUAGAAAUCCAUUUCACAUUGCCAUUAGAUUAAUUUCUGUUUUUACCUUUUGUGCGAUUACCUCUUUCCAGGGAUUGCUUCCUGAUGUAAAUGCCUAUUCAGAGGCCAUUCAAUCAAUAAAAUCAUGUUAUUCAGUAUAUCUCUGUUUUCAUUUUCAUUUUACUGUUUUGUUUAAUCAAUAAAAUCAUGUUAUUCAGUAUAUCUCUGUUUUCAUUUUCAUUUUACUGUUUUGUUUGCAAAAAUGACGUCCGAGUUUUUGAUAAACAUUGCAUCAUGAAACAUAAGAGCUUUACAGGUACAUGCUUAAUAAACAUUUAAAAUUGUUGUAAAUGUUAAGUGCUUUAGAUCGCCUAUUCAGAACAGGUACCCUCGGGGCAUUUCCUUAAGGUUCCCAGCCGAUGAUCGCGAAUGUUUUCCCCCAACAGUCGAAGUUGGUAUCUUAUCCUUGCAAAGCUGAUCAGAGCAUUGGAUUCUUCGAUCCCCAGCAGGCUCUCACUGAUGUACCUCCCCCAAGCGGUUGUUUCAGAAUAUACACUCCCCAGUAGAGUUGACAGUGCCAGACUAUAUAUCCCCAGCGGAGUUGACGGUGCCAGACUGUAUCUUCCCAGCAGAAGCGGCUGCUCCUCAGAGUUCGAUGCCAGAUCGAUAAUCCCAAUGCCAAAUCCAUGGUACCGUAUCGGUGUUUGCUUCCCCCGCUGAGUCGUCUCUCUCGCAAAUUAUGGUUUCCAGAGCCACUAUCGCUUUCCCCAGCAGCAAGUUUUCAGUGUCAUUCUCUCCCUCGUCAGAGCCUCGGUAUUUUGUUAUUUGCCAGAACACCGUGUGGCGGGUCAUUUCCCCACAGAGUUCUUUGUGCUGUGCAUCUCCAACAGCCUUGUCAGGGUCCAGAAGAUGGUGAUCAUUUCCCCAGCAGAUUCCCUUGCCUCGGCUUGGCAUUCUACCCAGCAUUCCGCGUCCAUGCAUGUAGAAUCAUAUUGCAUUGCAUCCUCCCAAAUCGCGUAGCAUUUUCGUUUUCAUGGAGCAUUACACAAUUGAAAAAUUCAAGCAUACGCAUAUAAGCAUAAAACAUUCUCGGUAUCCCAAGUGAUAAGCCAGAAGUUGUUUCCAGUACUCGGACUGAAGAUUGUUCACGACUUACCUUUAUUAUCCCUAGCAAGUGUCAUUGGCCCAUGUGCCGCCUCUAUUAUCUUUCCCUAUUUCUGCCGAUGCUGACAGGCAUGAAGUUUUUCUGGUAUUCAGACCGAAGUGGCGUUCAGGCCAGUUUUCCGAUGUUCAGAUCGAAGAAGUUUCUGACAUUCAGGUCGAUGCAACUUAUGGCAUUCAGGCCAGUUUCCGGUAUUCAGACCGAAGUGGCAUUCAGGCCAAUUUUCUGAUAUUCAGAUCGAAGUGGCAUUCAGGCCAGUUUUCCGAUGUUCAGAUCGAAGAAGUUUCCGACGUUCAGGUCGAUGCAAAUUGUGGCAUUCAGGCCAAUUUUCCGAUAUUCAGAUCGAAGUGGCAUUCAGGCCAAUUUUCCGAUUUUCAUAUCGAAGUGGCAUUCAGGCCAGUUUUCCGAUGUUCAGAUCGAAGAAGUUUCCAACAUUCAGGUCGACGUAACUUGUGGCAUUCAGGCCAGCCUCUCGGUGUUCAGACCGAUAUUAAUAAUCUCAUAUCUUCCGAUGUUCAGAUCGAAGUCAUUUCCAGUAUUCAGACUGAUGAGCGGCAUUCAGGCCAUGGUUAUUUCUGUGUUACCAUUUAUUUUGGUAUCCAGGUUAACAUUCUUUUUCGGUAUUCAGACUGACUNNNNNNNNNNNNNNNNNNNNNNNNNNNNNNNNNNNNNNNNNNNNNNNNNNNNNNNNNNNNNNNNNNNNNNNNNNNNNNNNNNNNNNNNNNNNNNNNNNNNNNNNNNNNNNNNNNNNNNNNNNNNNNNNNNNNNNNNNNNNNNNNNNNNNNNNNNNNNNNNNNNNNNNNNNNNNNNNNNNNNNNNNNNNNNNNNNNNNNNNNNNNNNNNNNNNNNNNNNNNNNNNNNNNNNNNNNNNNNNNNNNNNNNNNNNNNNNNNNNNNNNNNNNNNNNNNNNNNNNNNNNNNNNNNNNNNNNNNNNNNNNNNNNNNNNNNNNNNNNNNNNNNNNNNNNNNNNNNNNNNNNNNNNNNNNNNNNNNNNNNNNNNNNNNNNNNNNNNNNNNNNNNNNNNNNNNNNNNNNNNNNNNNNNNNNNNNNNNNNNNNNNNNNNNNNNNNNNNNNNNNNNNNNNNNNNNNNNNNNNNNNNNNNNNNNNNNNNNNNNNNNNNNNNNNNNNNNNNNNNNNNNNNNNNNNNNNNNNNNNNNNNNNNNNNNNNNNNNNNNNNNNNNNNNNNNNNNNNNNNNNNNNNNNNNNNNNNNNNNNNNNNNNNNNNNNNNNNNNNNNNNNNNNNNNNNNNNNNNNNNNNNNNNNNNNNNNNNNNNNNNNNNNNNNNNNNNNNNNNNNNNNNNNNNNNNNNNNNNNNNNNNNNNNNNNNNNNNNNNNNNNNNNNNNNNNNNNNNNNNNNNNNNNNNNNNNNNNNNNNNNNNNNNNNNNNNNNNNNNNNNNNNNNNNNNNNNNNNNNNNNNNNNNNNNNNNNNNNNNNNNNNNNNNNNNNNNNNNNNNNNNNNNNNNNNNNNNNNNNNNNNNNNNNNNNNNNNNNNNNNNNNNNNNNNNNNNNNNNNNNNNNNNNNNNNNNNNNNNNNNNNNNNNNNNNNNNNNNNNNNNNNNNNNNNNNNNNNNNNNNNNNNNNNNNNNNNNNNNNNNNNNNNNNNNNNNNNNNNNNNNNNNNNNNNNNNNNNNNNNNNNNNNNNNNNNNNNNNNNNNNNNNNNNNNNNNNNNNNNNNNNNNNNNNNNNNNNNNNNNNNNNNNNNNNNNNNNNNNNNNNNNNNNNNNNNNNNNNNNNNNNNNNNNNNNNNNNNNNNNNNNNNNNNNNNNNNNNNNNNNNNNNNNNNNNNNNNNNNNNNNNNNNNNNNNNNNNNNNNNNNNNNNNNNNNNNNNNNNNNNNNNNNNNNNNNNNNNNNNNNNNNNNNNNNNNNNNNNNNNNNNNNNNNNNNNNNNNNNNNNNNNNNNNNNNNNNNNNNNNNNNNNNNNNNNNNNNNNNNNNNNNNNNNNNNNNNNNNNNNNNNNNNNNNNNNNNNNNNNNNNNNNNNNNNNNNNNNNNNNNNNNNNNNNNNNNNNNNNNNNNNNNNNNNNNNNNNNNNNNNNNNNNNNNNNNNNNNNNNNNNNNNNNNNNNNNNNNNNNNNNNNNNNNNNNNNNNNNNNNNNNNNNNNNNNNNNNNNUGUAAUACCUCAAAAUUUGCCCCCCUCAUUCAUGCAUUCAUUUUUAGGUCAUUUAACAUUUCAUAUUGCAUUUCAUCAUGUCAAUCGGAAUUAGAUCCAAGAAGCUUGAAUAUCAUCCAAGACACUUUGUGGGUCCUAUCUGGGUGAUCAGUCAACACAAGGGAAUGGCUUGAGAUACUUCCAACAUGUUCAAAUGGGGUCUAUUCAUUAGUCAAAACGUUAAUCUUGAAGGAGCAAAAGUUUGUUCAUGAGUUGUCAUGCUCGCUAGGCGAGCAGAAUGGGUCGCCUAGCGAGUCCCAAGAAAAGCCACCAGAGGAAUUUCUUGAACUGUCAUGCUCGCUAGGCGAAGCCCACGCGUUUUGAAAAAAAACAAAAAAAAAAGAUAAAUAAAUAAAUAAAUAAAUAAAUAAAAUAUAACCGAAAAAUCUUGGACUUGGACCUCUCUCUUUUGAGCCCACAAAGUCACAAAAAUCAGAUUAUAAAUUCUAGACUUCCAUCUCCC
rnacentral:lncRNA from 1 species